rnacentral:lncRNA from 1 species
UUUUUUUUUUUUUUUUGUUACGGGUAAGGCAAUUAAAGUUUGGACUUGAGUAUUGAAGUUUUUUUUUUCUUUAAUUAGUGUAAUGUUGAAAUAGGUUAUGGUUUGAUGUUUUUCCAACUUUAACAGUUGAUUAAAUAUGUGAUGUGAUCUGAAGAUUUAGUUAUUUUUUAACUUGGUAAUGAUGGGGAUAGUGAAUUGAUAUAAAAGUUGAUGAAUUAUUUGGAAAUAAAUGAACGAAAUACAUAGCACGAAAAUGAAAUGGUAUCGUCUGAGAUAUUCACCUAAAUAGACUAGAACAUUAUUGAUUCUAUUUGUGAACAAGGUUAACAUUGGGAGAUAGAAAUAUAUAAUGUAAAUUGUUCUUGUUCAAUUCAAAAGGGCGUAUGUUAUUUAACACUAGAGAAGAAGUUCAAUGGGUGGUUAUAAAGUAUUGCAUGACAACACUAUCAUUGAGUUGAUGAUUUUUUUUUACCCUUUUUGUUAUUUAAUAGUAAAGAAGAUCUUCAAAUGAAACAUGUCGAACAAUCAGCAAAUAUGAUGUUAAUCUAUCAACAGCUAUUUGACCGAGAUUGAUGCGCACUCAAAUAGCAAAGUAUUAUACAAAUGAAUACUACAUAUUUUUUGUUGUCUACUUAUGUUUUUUUUAACAUAUUAAUUAUGGAGACGAUACGCACACAAUAUUAUGGCAUUAUUGCCUAAUCAGUGUCAUAAUGGUCAAGAAGUUUGGACUUACUUUGGCCCUCUGAUAUGCUUUCGUGCCGUAGGUGACAUUUACCAAAUAAACUGUUACGACAGUACGGUCUGCUCCAAAACGCACCAUCGUUGUGGUGUACUGGCUUAACACUACACCAAAUUGAUUUAAGAGGUAAACAUGAUCAAUGUUGAUGUAAGAUUCACGAUGUGGCCUAUACAUCAUGAUCAUUGUGCACAUGGAGAAGCAACACACAUGACCCAAUUGUAUUAGCUGAUGACUAUUUUUUCCGACACAAGUCAAUAUUACAAGAUGAUUUAUCACACCUAAUCGCGCUUACUAUUAUUGCAUAGUAAGAAUUUUAAUAUGAUAUGUUUUAUAAUUUUAUAAUAUGAACAUUAUUUAGUGUUUUAUAUUUAAUCAUGCAAAAUAAUUUUGUUCAAGAAGAUGUACAUAAUUAAUGAAACACGAUUUCCUAGAUUUGAGUUCAAUGUAUUAUCAAACAUUGGUAAAUGUAAAACAUAUUAUUCAACAAACAAAACGAUUAAUGUUAUAAACAUGAAUCGAAGACAUAUUUAAUACAUAAACAACGAUAUGGGAAUGAUAUUAUAUAAAAUAAUUGCAUUCUAAUUCUUUCCACCAAAACAGCAGUCAUAAAAGAAACUUAAAGGAAAAAAUAACAAAAUUAUAAGAGUAAUCUAUUUUCAACUAGAAAUGUAACAUUUACAGCUUAAACAAAAAAUGAACAAAAGCAAAAGAAAAGAAAUCAAUUUAUGGUGCUUUAGUCUAUUUAUAAUUUAUUAUUAAAUAAAUAAUUAAAAAAUAUUAAAUACAAUUAAACAACGGAUACAUUAAUGUUUGCUUGUCCACUCUUACCAAACAAGAAUAAGUAUAUUGUUGAUAUGCCUUGAAUAAGAAAAUAACAUCGCAUAACCGACAUGAACUUAGUUUAACAUCGCACACCUUUAAAAAUUUAAAGGAUAGAACUUAAAAAUUUGAGAUAACAUUCUUUUAAUGGUCCACGUGAUUCUGCAUAUAUUCAGCAUGCAACAUGCAAAAUUUUAGUAAAUAGACAUGAAAAAAGUCAAACGUAUAUAAUAUUUAUUAUCAAAUAUGAUAACUUGACCAUAAAAGUAUUUUUUUUCCCUGUAUUCAUAUUUAAAUUUUACCACUCUUAAUUAUUUGGUAUGUUAUAUUUAUUAUCAAAUAAAUAAUAUAAUCGACUAGACAAAUUCUACAUUUUUAAUGUACCUUCUCUUUUAUCAUUGUUAUAUAAUUAAUUAUUUGCAACUAAAUUUAUAAAAAUCAAACUAUAUAUAUACACACAUACAUACAUACACACAUACAUAUAUACACAUACAUACAUAUACAUAUAUCUAUACAUACAUUACGCAUACACAUACACAUAUCUAUAUAUACAUAUACUUUUUUAUUAUUUGAAAUAUAGUUUGAACGUUUGUGCAUUUUUGUCUGGUCAUUUGAUAUGAAAGGACAAGACCUAACAUUGACAUGAGGUUAUAUAUAUAUCUUCAACAUACUCUAAUGUUUAAAUCGAUGUACUUAAGUUGUUAAGGUUGUACAUAAUAGCAAACAACAAGUACUUAAUUGAAAAGUAGAGACAAUGUCUUGAGAGUCGUUGGUUGUAUAUUACUUAAAUGUUUGCUGAUCAUAUUGAUCUUAAGCCUUACGAGAUGCUUAUUCAUCGAUCAUUAGUUCACAUGAUGUUUUACAAGAGAUCAUAGCGACCAUGGGCUCAUUGGCUUUUGACCUCACACCCAUUUAGGGUAUCCUUAACAAUUUGGUUUCAUUCCAAAAAUUUUAACAUAUAAAAACGUUCGUAUUAAUAAAAAAAAUAAUCAUGAUAACAUAUACACACAUUAUUUUCUUCUUUGGUAACCCAUGUGAAACUUUUUUGUUACAAUAACUACUCUACAUAAUUUGAGAUUAGGGUUAUCCCCAUUGGAAUACAUUGAAUAUAAGCAAAUUUCUCUUUUGAAAACUCAUAAUGUAGAACAAGAAACCAAAAAUGGUAAUCCAAUCAUCCAAUGAGUGUAAUAACAAAAGGCAGAGAAGGAUACAAUGUCAGUCAAAAAUAGGGCAGAAGCUAUAGAGCUGCCAUUGAUGAAGUUUUUAGCUUCACAAUAGACCUUCCCCCACCUUAAUUAGGCCUUGCAAAUUCCAAUAAACUAUACCUAAAGAAAUAUACAAUUUUUUAAUUUUUUUUUUAAAUUGUGAAAGGUCAAAAUUCAAUGAUAAAUUGGUAAUUCUCAAAAGAAGUGUUUCAAAACAACUAACCUGCUUGAUGAAUGGUAUACACCAUCACCUUAAAUUACUACUUAACUGCAUGCAUUACCAUGUGAUUUUAUAAAUUAAUCAUUUUUAAUUUGUGUGUUUCUCUUCCAUUAAAAUAUAUAGAAUCUUCCACACUAUAUAUUAAUUAACAUAUAUUCCUUUUGAUUUAGAGAGAGAAAAAGAGUUGAGAUGAUAGGGGUUGGAACUAAAUAAACAUAAUAUGAUAUAUUGUAUUAAAUUAUAAUAUAUUGGGUUCUAAAAGAAUGUUUGGUAUGUGGGUUUUUGGAAAGAUAAUGUAUAAAAUAUUUGAAAAAGGCAGUUCAUAUCCUAUCUAGUAUGUUUAAAUUAUACAUAUUUAAUGAAUAUUAUUUUUAUUAAUCUCAACUUAAAUAUAGCUCAAUUUAUUAGGUAGGAAAAAAAUUAUCCUAUCCUUUUAUCAUUGUUGAACCAAAUUGUAAUGAUAAACUAAUUAACUGUUAAAUGGUUAAUUGAUUAUAAGAUGUCAUAAUAUUUAUCACACUUGCGAAAUGAUAAACUUAUUACAUAUCAAAUUUAUUCCUAAACUAUAAAAGCUAAUUAUGUCAUUUCGCGCAAUAAAAACUUAUCAUUAAUUUUGUUUUGAAGUAGGGAAUACUUUGUUCCAAAUUUGAAAGUAUAAAGACAUUAUUGUUAUCUAACUUACAUUGUUAUAAGCUAGAAAGUAAAAAAACUCAAUUGUUAUAAAUGAAAGUACAUUUACUAAAUCAUUUUGACAAGUGGGAGUCUACACUAAGUGGACAAUAAAAAAACCUAAAACGACUUGUUAUAUUCAAACCAAAGAACCAUAAAAGGGAUAGAAAUGAGAAAAAAAAUGGGGACCAAAAAGGAUUUAAACCAAAAAAAUGAAAAGGCACAAGUUUUCUCAUUUGUUUAUUUUUCUUUGGGUUUGUUUGAGUGUGGGUUGUUGAAUAAGAAAUUUUGAGACCAAUUACAAGUUGCCACAUCAUUUAUUAAGUUAAUGAUGAAAAGUACAAAUAAUUAAAUUUGGGACUAAUUAAAAUUGACACAUGCCCCAAAUUAAAGAGUUAAAAUAAAUAAAUUGGUCAUUCUAAUAAUGCCACAUGUUUUCAUAUUAAUCGUUGGAUUAAGUUAAUCAUUUUAGUUCAAUUAAGCCAAAAAAAAUAAGCUUAAUUGAGCCCAAAGACUAAAUAUAACCUAAGUCCAUAUGGUUGAGCCCAUGGGUCUGGUCCAUGGACCAACCAAGUUCAAACCCAUAAAGCCCACCAGUGAACUCUAUAAAUAGAGGAAUUCUCCUCAUUUGCAGGGGUUGGAAAAUUUUGACUCUAGAAGAUCCAGAGAGAAUUCUUCCAAAAGCUAGAAGACUCCCUAACUUCUGAAGUUGACCAUCCUCGAAGAUUGAAGCUGUUUUGAAGAUACAAACUUUCUUCCAAGACUCCAACUUCAAGAACAUCACGUGCUCCGCUUCCUCAAAUCAAGCGUAAGCAUUCAACCAACUUGAAGAAAAUCACGUGCUCCGCUUCUCCAAAUCAAGCGUAGACGUUCAACAAACUUCAAGAACAUCACGUGCUCCGCUUCUCCAAAUCAAGCGUAGACGUUCAACAAACUUCAAGAACAUCACGUGCUCCGCUUCCUCCAAAUCAAGCGUAGACAUACAGUUGAGAGAGAAUCAGAGGAUCAAAUUCUAGAGAUUGAACCGCAUCGCAUCAAAUCAACAAAAAUACAACAUCAACCCAAGUUCAAGUCCACGAAUUAAAUUUCUCCGGAAAUCUCGUGCGAACAAAUUGGCACGCCCGGUGGGACCAUCUCUACCUCUCAUCUCUCUCUCAUCAUCUAGAUCUACAAGCAAAUCAAUGGCAUCAAAGAAAGCUGCAUCCAAAUCUUCAGCUGCAAGCGACACCUACACGGGACCUAUCACCCGUAGUCGUUCCAAGGGGAUCAUCCAAGGGCAAGACCAAGGUUCCGCCAUCGCGCAGAGCAUCCUGAAGCAAUUGAUGGAAUCUCCUAAAGCUGGAAUUGUCAUCAAGGAAAAUCCUCUAUAUAAUGAUUAUGAUUCUGCCUCUAGCAGGUCACUGAAAGAAGCACACCCAGAUGUGAUGUCCGUCAUGAUGGCUGAUGUAGCAGUCGAGACUGCCAUGGCGGAGAUGGAGAGAAAAAUUAAUCUCCUGAUGAAGGUUGUUGAUGAACGAGACCACGAAAUUGCAGCUUUAAAGGAGCAGAUGCAGACUCGUGAAACUGCUGAAUCGAGUCAAACUCCUGUCGUUAAAGUUGAUGACAAAGGGAAGAACGUGGUACAAGAAAAUCAGCCACAACAACAAUCAACUUCUGUGGCUUCUCUCUCGGUUCAACAAUUACAAGAUAUGAUCACAAGCUCCAUCAGAGCACAAUAUGGAGGCCCAUCUCAGACUUCUUUCAUGUACUCUAAACCAUACACCAAAAGAAUCGACAACUUGAGAAUGCCGCUUGGAUAUCAGCCUCCAAAAUUCCAGCAGUUUGACGGAAAGGGCAAUCCAAAACAGCACGUUGCUCACUUCGUCGAAACAUGUGAGAAUGCAGGAUCAAGAGGAGAUCAACUAGUCAGACAAUUUGUUCGAAGCUUGAAAGGAAAUGCUUUUGAAUGGUAUACUGAUCUGGAGCCAGAAAGCAUUGAGAGUUGGGAACAACUAGAAAAGGAGUUUCUCAAUCGCUUCUACAGCACCAGGCGUACUGUAAGCAUGAUGGAGCUUACAAAUACGAAACAAAGAAAGGGAGAACCAGUCAUCGACUACAUCAAUAGAUGGAGAGCUCUAAGUCUUGACUGUAAAGAUCGGCUCACCGAACUGUCGGCUGUAGAAAUGUGCACCCAAGGCAUGCACUGGGGACUCCUCUACAUUUUGCAGGGAAUAAAGCCCCGCACAUUUGAAGAACUGGCAACUCGAGCUCAUGAUAUGGAGUUGAGCAUCGCCAGUAGAGGAACUAAAGAUUUUCUUGUUCCUGAAGUAAAGAAAGAUAAGAAAGAGAUGAAAGGUGCUGAAAAGAUAGUGAAAAGCACCUCGAAAGAAUCUAUGGUCGUAAACACAACCCCGCUGAAAUUCUCCAAAGGAAAGGAAGCGAGGGUUGAAAAGAAGGAUGAUGGAAGCGAAAGGCGACGUCUGACUUUAAAAGAAAGGCAGGAAAAAGUUUACCCAUUUCCUGAUUCAGAUAUCGCUGACAUGCUAGAGCAACUACUAGAGAAGCAGCUGAUCCAGCUGCCAGAAUGUAAACGACCUGAGCAAGCAGGAAAGGUAGAUGAUCCCAAUUACUGCAAGUAUCAUCGGGUCAUCAGUCAUCCAGUAGAGAAAUGCUUCGUGCUGAAGGAGCUAAUUCUAAGGUUGGCUCGUGAGAAAAGGAUUGAGCUAGAUUUGGAGGAAGUAGCUCAAACAAACCACGCUGAAGUGACGAUAAUGUCUGAGGCUUCUUCGUCGAGAUUGAUUUUUGAGCAAAGGAAAAGCUUGGUCCAGUUCGGGACCUUUGAGCCUAUAGUUGUCCAAUUCUUUCAGGAAAUCUCAUACGAGGAUCCUCAAGGAGAGAAAAGACCAAUUGAAGAAGACGAUGAAGGGUGGAUAGUGGUGACCCACCGAAAGAAAAGACAGUCGAUCCCGACCCAAAGAGAGUCUCGCUCUUACCAAAACUAUAGAAGAGGAAAUAAGACUCAAAAGAAUAAGAAAAAGAAGAAGACUCAUAAGCUUAAGCUCGUACAUAAUGAAGACAUGAAUUUCUCUCGACCUCAACGCUUAGUGACCUUGGCAGACUUCCUUCCAAAAAGCUUCCUUUGUGAUCAUCAGGAUGAAGACCCAGAAGUCGUUGCGUGUCAUGCUAUCAACACAACGGAGGAAGAAAUAAUCCCUCCAAGAUCACUAGAAGGAGAGGGAGUAUCAAAAGACCUUUCAAGGUUUAAUGUAGAGGAUCUAUUAUCACUUCCUCAAGAGACCAAAACCAUCCUUAUUGAUGCAUUGCUAAAUUCAAGAGCAUCAAGUUCGAGUACUCCGACUAUGACAUAUGAGAGUGGUUCUUAUUGUAUGUCUAUAGACUUCUCAGAUGAGGAUUUGUUGUUGGGAUCUAAACUUCAUAAUAGACCUUUGUAUGUUUCUGGAUACGUUCGAGAACAGAGAGUCGAUCGAAUCCUCAUUGAUAAUGGCUCAGCUGUCAACAUAAUGCCAAAGUCGACUAUGUGGCAAUUAGGCAUCUUGAUGGACGAGCUCUCAAAUAGCAAGCUAGUAAUUCAAGGUUUUAACCAAGGUAGCCAAAGAGCAAUAGGCAUGAUACGGUUAGAACUCAUAAUUGGCGACCUAAAGGCCAGUGCAUUGUUUCAUGUCAUAGACUCAAGGACUACUUACAAGUUGUUACUAGGGCGUCCUUGGAUUCAUGGAAACGGAGUAGUAACUUCAACACUGCAUCAGUGCUUCAAAUUUUAUCAGGACGGUGUAAAGAAGGUUGAAGCCGACUCUAAUCCAUUCUCAGAAGCUGAGUCUCACUUCGCAGAUGCAAAGUUUUAUUCAAAGAAUAAUAAUAUUUUAGAAGUUUUGCCUGCAGAAACCCCUCUUACAAAAGGAGAAGAUAAUUCACAAUUGAAAUCACUCGCAACCACAGAACCACAUGAAAGUGCGAGAACCUUUAACUCUGGAAAGGGUGAAGCAUACACUAGCAACACAAAGGGUAUGAUCUUGAAGGAUGAAAAUGCUGCAAACACACCAGUUUUGCGUUAUGUCCCUCUGUCAAGGCGCAAGAAAGGCGAAUCACCAUUCAUGGAGUCUCCAAAAGGUUUGAAAGUUGGUGACAUCGAAAUCAUAAAAGAAAGCUUCACUACACCACUAACUAAGAUAGCGAAGCAAGAGGUAAAGGUAGAUCUGGUGGAAGCAAACUUGCCCCAAAGGCGAACGAAAGACGGAUUCGACCCCAAGGCUUACAAAUUGAUGGCGAAAGCAGGUUAUGACUUCACAGCUCACACCGAGUUUAAAAGCUUGGAAAUUCAUGACCGACCUGAGCUCUCCUCAACUCAAAAGAAGCUUCUACGGGAAGGACAUUCUAUACCCGUGUCGAGAAAAGGACUCGGAUACAAGUCGCCAGAACCGAUCCGUAUAACUAAAAAGGGGAAGGAAAAAGUGGUUGACAUCAAUCAUAUAACUAUAGAGGAGGAUGACAAUACUGACGUAAAAGAAGGUGAUAAUCAGAGAAUCUCAGUAUUUGAUCGAAUUAGACCAUCUGUUGCACGUCCCGUAGUAUUUGAAAGGCUAAGCAUGACAGAGGCAGAAAGAGAAAGGCUCCAGUCAGUACCAAACCUUGAGAGACAUUCGGUCUUUCGAAGGCUAACUACGACUCCCAUAAAGGAAGAAAGCACAUGCCAUGCCUUGACAACUACAAGACCAUCAGCCUUUGAAAGGCUAGGUGUGUCUAAAAAGAAAAAUGUACAAGCACCCCGUGCUCCGAUUUUUAAUCAUCUCGGGGAUAAAGGAUCACACGACAACAUUGAUUCCAACAUAGAUACAAAGAAGAAGGAACCAAUGUCUCGUGUGAAAGUUUGGCGUCGAAUUAAGCAUACAGAUGUCGAUAAUUAUCGUAGUAAGAAGUUUCCUUGCGAGACAAAGGAAAAUGGAGAAAUUCAUAGCAACGUUCCUUCUCGCAUGAAAAGAAAAACUUUUGUUACUCUCAAUACAAGUCAAGGUUCGUUAAAGGUAAAAAGACAUGAUGUUAUACUAACGAAUCCUGAAAAAGAAGGGUCGGAACAAGGGGAAUGUGAAACUUCAUGUCAUCACAUCACCAUUAUUGAGGAAUCAGAGACUGGAACUCAUGAAGAAGACGCAGAAAAUGCCCCACAAAGUUUAGAGGAUGGUGGCAAUCUACUGUAGACGAGCUAAAAGAGGUGAACCUUGGUACAAUAGAGGAACCACGCCCGACUUUCAUUAGUGCGUCCCUCUCUAACGAAGAGGUGGAUAAAUAUAUGAGUUUGCUCACCGAAUACAGGGACAUCUUUGCGUGGUCGUACAAGGAGAUGCCAGGACUUGACCCAAAAGUAGCAGUCCAUCAUCUUGCAAUUAAACCUGGAUAUCGACCGAUUAAACAAGCACAACGACGUUUUCGACCGGAGCUUAUCCCUCAAAUCGAGGUGGAAGUCAACAAGUUGAUCGAAGCAGGAUUCAUUCGCGAGGUCAAAUAUCCAACGUGGAUAGCAAACAUUGUCCCUGUUAGAAAAAAAAUGGACAACUUCGCGUUUGUGUAGACUUUCGCGAUCUGAAUAAUGCAUGCCCUAAAGAUGAUUUUCCCUUGCCCAUCACCGAAAUCAUGGUUGAUGCAACUACUGGACACGAGGCGUUGUCGUUUAUGGAUGGGUCGUCUGGAUAUAAUCAAAUACGGAUGGCCCUCUCAGAUGAAGAAAUGACAGCUUUCAGAACUCCAAAGGGAAUAUACUGUUACAAGGUGAUGCCCUUUGGAUUGAAAAAUGCCGGCGCUACUUAUCAACGUGCCAUGCAGAAAGUGUUUGAUGAUAUGUUGCACAGGUAUGUUGAAUGUUAUGUUGAUGAUCUUGUAGUCAAAACAAAGAGACGACAAGACCAUUUGAAGGAUCUAAAAGUCGUGUUUGAUCGCUUGCGAAAAUAUCAGCUAAGGAUGAACCCUCUCAAGUGUGCGUUUGGUGUAACUUCAGGAAAAUUUCUUGGCUUCAUUGUAAGGCAUCGAGGGAUCGAAAUAGACCAGUCCAAGAUUGAUGCCAUUCAGAAGAUGUCAAGACCUAAAAGUUUGCAUGACCUAAGAAGUCUCCAAGGACGACUGGCUUACAUCCGAAGGUUCAUCUCUAACUUGGCCGGUCGGUGUCAACCUUUUCAAAAGUUGAUGAGAAAAGGAGAAAAUUUUGUGUGGGAUGAAGCUUGUCAGAACGCUUUUGAUAGCAUAAAGAAAUACUUGCUUACUCCCCCAGUGCUGGGAGCUCCAGUACCUGACAAACCACUAAUAUUGUACAUUGCUGCACAAGAAAGGUCCUUAGGAGCAUUACUGGCACAAGAAGAGGUAAAGGGAAAGGAGCGUUCUCUCUACUAUCUAAGCAGAACAUUAAUUGGGGCUGAAGUUAACUAUUCUCCUAUCGAAAAGAUGUGUCUUGCACUUUUCUUUGCCAUUGAUAAGUUGAGGCAUUAUAUGCAGGCCUUCACGGUUCAUCUAGUGGCAAAAGCAGACCCUAUAAAGUAUGUUCUAUCCAGGCCAAUCAUCGCUGGACGCUUAGCCAAAUGGGCGGUUCUACUCCAACAAUAUGACAUUGUCUAUAUUCCCCAAAAGGCGAUAAAAGGACAAGCGCUAGCAGACUUUUUAGCAGACCACCCAAUUCCUUCGGAUUGGAAGUUAUGUGAUGACCUACCAGACGAUGAGGUUUUCUUCACAGAAGUUAUGGAACCUUGGACUAUGUACUUCGAUGGUGCAGCUCGAAGAAGUGGUGCGGGGGCAGGCAUUGUCCUCAUUUCUCCUGAGAAGCAUAUGUUGCCUUAUAGCUUUGCACUUUCCGAAUUGUGUUCAAACAAUGUGGCUGAAUAUCAGGCUUUGAUAAUUGGCCUUCAAAUAGCAUUAGAAAUCGGAGUGUCAUUCAUAGAGGUCUAUGGUGAUUCAAAAUUGAUAAUCAAUCAACUCUCGCUUCAAUAUGACGUGAAACAUGAAGACUUGAAGCCAUAUUUUGCUUAUGCUCGACAAUUGAUGGAAAAGUUUGAUAAUGUGAUGUUAGAACAUGUCCCUAGAGUAGAAAAUAAGAGAGCGGAUGCAUUGGCAAAUUUAGCCACGGCCUUGACCAUGCCAGAUGAUGUAACUCUGAACAUACCACUUUGUCAACGAUGGAUUAUACCCCCAGUUAGGCCUGAAUGUCAGGAAGUGAACAUGGCAACAUCCUAUUUGAUUGAUGAAGAAGAUUGGCGUCAACCCAUCAUAGAGUAUCUUGAACAUGGAAAGCUUCCAAAGGAUUCUCGUCAUAAAAUUGAGAUACGAAGAAGGGCAGCACACUUCAUUUAUUACAAGGGAACUUUAUAUCGCCGUUCUCUUGAAGGGCUCUUCCUUCGAUGUCUCGGAAAGGAAGAUUCGGUAAAAGCUCUAAAGGAAGUACAUGCAGGUGUUUGUGGAGCACAUCAAUCGGGACCAAAGCUUCAAUUCCAGCUAAGAAGAAUGGGCUACUACUGGCCUAAGAUGAUCCAAGAUUCAAUAGACUAUGUGAAGAAGUGUGAGCCUUGUCAAUACCAUGCAAACUUCAUACACCAACCUCCAGAACCUCUUCAUCCAACUGUGGCUUCUUGGCCUUUUGAGGCUUGGGGACUCGAUCUGGUUGGCCCCAUUACACCAAAAUCAUCAGCAGGACAUUCUUAUAUCCUAGCAGCAACAGACUAUUUUUCAAGGUGGGCUGAGGCCAUUUCAUUGAGAGAAGCCAAGAAGGAGAACGUGGCAGACUUUAUUCGAACACACAUCAUCUAUCGAUACGGUAUUCCACAUCGAAUCGUGACGGAUAAUGGAAAGCAAUUCUCCAAUAGUAUGAUGGACAAGUUAUGUGAAAAAUUCAAAUUCAAGCAAUAUAAGUCAUCCAUGUACAACGCAGCUGCGAAUGGACUAGCAGAAGCAUUCAACAAAACAUUGUGUAAUCUUUUAAAGAAAAUUGUCUCCAAGUCAAAGAGGGAUUGGCAAGAAAAGAUCGGCGAGGCAUUAUGGGCUUAUCGAACGACUCAUCGCACCCCUACAGGGGUUACACCAUAUUCGCUUGUUUACGGUGUGGAGGCUGUCCUUCCUCUCGAAAGGGAAAUUCCGUCACUAAGAAUGGCAGUACAAGAGGGAUUGACUACCGAAGAUAAUGUGAAGUUACGUCUUCAAGAAUUAGAAGCACUUGACGAAAAGCGAUUAGAGGCUCAGCAAGCAUUGGAAUGUUAUCAAGCGAGAAUGUCCAAAGCUUUUGAUAAACACGUUAAACCUCGCUCCUUUCAAGUCGGUGAUCUAGUACUUGCCGUAAGGAGACCGAUCAUCACAACAAGGCAUACAGGAAAUAAGUUCACACCUAAAUGGGAUGGACCUUACAUUGUUAAAGAAGUUUAUACAAAUGGCGCAUACAAGAUCGUUGAUCAAGACGGACUACGAAUUGGCCCAAUCAAUGGUAAAUUUCUUAAAAAAUUUUAUGCUUAAUUUUGUUAGGUAAAAAAAAAAAAAAAAAAAGUUGAACUACGUUAUGACUUGAUCCCUAUAUUAUAAAGGGUACGUAGGCAGCUUAAGGAAAACCUUAAGCCCAGUCCAGCAAAAAAAAAGUUGAACUACGUUAUGACUUGAUCCCUAUAUUAUAAAGGGUACGUAGGCAGCUUAAGGAAAACCUUAAGCCCAGUCCAGCAAAAAAAAAAGUUGAACUACGUUAUGACUUGAUCCCUACAUUAUAAAGGGUACGUAGGCAACUUAAAGAAAAACUUUAAGUUCAGUCCACCAUUAUAAAAAAAAAAAAAAAAAAAAAAAAAAAAAAAAAAAACCUUGAAACUACGUCGUGAGUUAAUUCUUUUCUUCAAAGGGUGUUCAUCUCUACUAAGGAAUCAUAACAAAUUGGGGGCAAAUCCCUAAAUUCAAGAUGUUCAUCUUUAGUAACAAUGAGAUGAAAUAAAAUUGAAGAUGUACAACUCCGUGCAAAGACUAUGUACAAGUUGAGUGCAUGUAAAAGAAAAAAAAAAAAAGGAAUCUCAAUCAAGCUCAAAGGCAUCAUUAAUGAUCCCUCAAAUUCAAGCAUAAAAGUUUUCAUUGAUGAUUCCUUAAUAUUCAAGUUUAAGGCUUCAUCGAGCUGCAGCUCCAGCUCUUUGAGAGGAUAACGAUGGUACAACUUUGAUAGGACGACGAUCGGGCAGCUCUGCCUUCGCCUCUCCAAGAUGAAAACGACAGUGUAACAUCGUUUCUGCCUCUUGAAGAGAUGCAUGAAUGCUAAAGCUUUAACCUCUGCUUCAUCUUCAGGCUUAUUGCAACUGAAGAGGAUUCAUCUUUCAUCGUCUUUCUAAGUUCAUGUGCAAUCGAAGAUGAUUCAUCUUCANNNNNNNNNNNNNNNNNNNNNNNNNNNNNNNNNNNNNNNNNNNNNNNNNNNNNNNNNNNNNNNNNNNNNNNNNNNNNNNNNNNNNNNNNNNNNNNNNNNNNNNNNNNNNNNNNNNNNNNNNNNNNNNNNNNNNNNNNNNNNNNNNNNNNNNNNNNNNNNNNNNNNNNNNNNNNNNNNNNNNNNNNNNNNNNNNNNNNNNNNNNNNNNNNNNNNNNNNNNNNNNNNNNNNNNNNNNNNNNNNNNNNNNNNNNNNNNNNNNNNNNNNNNNNNNNNNNNNNNNNNNNNNNNNNNNNNNNNNNNNNNNNNNNNNNNNNNNNNNNNNNNNNNNNNNNNNNNNNNNNNNNNNNNNNNNNNNNNNNNNNNNNNNNNNNNNNNNNNNNNNNNNNNNNNNNNNNNNNNNNNNNNNNNNNNNNNNNNNNNNNNNNNNNNNNNNNNNNNNNNNNNNNNNNNNNNNNNNNNNNNNNNNNNNNNNNNNNNNNNNNNNNNNNNNNNNNNNNNNNAUCAGGUUGUUGACGAAGAAACGGUAGGGUUAACGAUCUGGAGGCUCCUUGGUGGCGUGUUUGAACAUCUUGAUGGGAAAGUAGAAAUUAAGUUUGAAAACGAAUCACCUAGCUUCCUUGUUGUUAAAGAAAAUAUGAGUUCAAGGCCCAGUACAUGUAGUAUUAAGAGUGAACCAAUAUCUAAUCAAACAGAUCAAGUUCUCGAAAGUAAAAUUAAUAUGUUAGAUUAGAUCAAGAAUACCAAAUAACAUUUAUGAAGAAAAUCUCCCUGGUUCUCUAACUCAAACAGAAAUGGAUACUAGUUCUCAAGUAAAUGUAAUUAUUUUAGAAUCAAAAUUUGAGCUUGACAAAGAAUCCUUACAAAAGGAAUUUAUGUCUAAAGCAAAUUUUAUUGAAAGAAUUUCCUUUUCCGAAACUUACUUUGAAACAGAACAGAAGUUGUUUAGAGAAGUUUCAAGGCUUUUGAAAUACUUCAAGAACAUAUUACAUUUUUUAAAUGGUUCAACCAAAGAAAAGAUUUUGACCAUCUUUGUAGAAUAAAAGAAAAUGAAUAUUGGAAAACUCAAAGAGGAGAAAUCAAAGAUGAUUUCCCUCCGAUGGAAGAUGUUGAGUUCAAAAGUUUUUCUAAUAAGAAUGUUAUAGCAAAUCCUUUUCAAAUUAUCAAUGAAUUUGAACACAAGACUCCUACAAAUAAAGAAAUAAAGAGUAUCCAAGUUUAAAAUAAUUAUUCUAACAUAAUGAUUUCUUCAAUCGUAGUCACGUCUUCAAGUUAGAAGAAAAUUUCAAUUCUUCUACUCUCGAAGAAACUUCUAACCUUUUCCAACCUUUAGAUAAUGUUAAGAUAAAAACUCAUAAACAAAACCUUCCGGAUGAUAUUAAUAAAAACCUAAACAACCUAAGGGGCGAAAGUUUUCAUGGAAGAUUUUGAAAAUCUUUCAUUCAACGAAGAAGAAAAACAAAUCAACAAGAUAAAUUUUGGAAGAUUUGUUAAUAGGAAAGAUAAAAUAAAUUUUCAUCCUUGACCUUCAUUUCCCGGAGAAGAACUAGAGCAAGACAAAUGUAUGUCAUAAAUACAGAAUUCAAUGGAGAAUCCAUAUAUCUUUGGAAUAUUGAUGGAACUCUAGAGUAUCAAAUUUAUGACACAUUGAAUAACAUGUUAACUUGUUCCAUAACCUAUGAAUCCAAUGCUCAUACAAAUGGAGAGGCUCCUAUGCUUCUAAUCAAUGGAUUUAGUGGAACUUUCAAACUAUGGUGGGAUCAUGCCCUAAUCAAUAAACAAAAAGUAGCAAUUAAAAAUCAUAGGACAAGAAUCAAAAGGACAAUUAAGACUAAAGAUGGAGCUUUAGUAACUCAAGAAAUAAAAGAAGAGUGAGAGGACACUGUUCCUCUUUGAAAAAAUUUAGAUGGUACAAAAACAUGUUCUUAUUUAAAAUUUAUAUAUUUUUAAGGAUUGUAAUGUCAGACACUUGAAAGAAAUGUCCAUUGAUAGACUUUCAAGCUUCAUGGCAGAAAGAGUCUAAAACUCCCUCAACAAAGCAUAUCCUAAGGAAAUACCUUGGGAAACUCUUACCUAUGUCCAACUAACUUCUAGAAUCAUAGAAUGUGGUUUAGAUAUAUACGAUGAGAUAAAAAUUCAAACCAAAGUACACAAACAUUCAAAUCUUCAUAAAAAAUAAAUAAAGACAUUUUGUUCUCGAAUUUGAGAAGGUCAAAGAACCAGCUUCUUCUUCAAGAAAAAUUCGACCAAAAAACUAUAAUAUGAAACUCACAUAUUAUGGAAAAUUCCAAGGUAUAACAAGUCUUACCCCAAAAGAAAUAUCACAAAUAUUCAAAUUACAAAAAACCUGCAGAAAAUCAACCCAAAAAAGUUCAAAAAAGAGGAAAAUCAAACAAUUUGUUUUUUUUUUUUUUUUUGUUAGAAAUAAAGAAAAGAAGGACAUUAUGCCAAUAAGUGUCCACAAAGAGAGAUUCAUGAAAAAAAAAUGAAGAAAAAUAUUAUUAAGAUUUAUCUUAUAUUUCUAACUUUCAAUUGUAGGAAAUUACAGAUCAAACCAAUUCAAAAAUUUCAAGUCAAGAACCAUAUAAAUAUAUUUUAAUUUAAAUAAAUGUUUUAACUUUCAAACAUAAUUUAUUAUUUCAAACAAUUAACCAUGUUUCAAAUGAAGAUUUAAAAAGAAAUAUUUUGGAAACCAUCUCUAAAGAAGAAAAUGAUUUUGAAAAAAGUCUUUAAAAAGUUUUACAAACUCCAAAAAUAUAAACACCAAUUUCUAUUGAAUUUUGAAAUCAAUUGUCUAGAAAGAAAAAUUUCUCAAAAUAAAUAUGAAAUUUUAUAAAUUAAAAAAGAAAUUUCUCAAAUAAAGCAAAAUGAUAAUUUAGAUGAUUUAGACCUAAGGAAAAGAUUUUUUAAGUAAUCUAAAUGCUAAAAUUAAUUUAAUUUCAAGAAUAAGUUUUCAAAAAUAGUAUUUUUUAAUUAUUUUAAAAAUAUAAAAUUUUAAAAUUACUUUGAAAGCAUUGAUAGACUCAGGUGCAAAUCAAAAUUGUAUUCAAGAAUGUUUAAUUUCUACAAAAUAUUUUGAAAAAAUCACAUAGGUUUUUAUUAGAGCAAACAUAAAAAAAAAUAGAAAAAUUGCAUCAUAUGACAAAAAAAAAAUAGAAAUAAGCAGUCCAUAAUACAUUUUUUUUUUGCAUAUUGCAAAUAUGACAAAUAUGACAAGUAAUUAGAUAUAUCAGAUAAGACGGUUAUCAGGGCUAUUGGAGGGCUAUCCGAUUUAAAUUUACUAUUUUUGCAAUUUAGAAAAUGUAGUGUCAUUAGUUCUAUUACCAUAAAUUUUUUUUGCUAUUUUUGCAAACGCACCCCAAAUGAUUAAUUAAAUAUCAAAUUUAAACUUUCAAAAGUAUAUGUUUGUAAUAAAAAAUUUUGUUUCAAAAUAUAUUUUCUUUUAGUCAAACAUCUUCGCUAAGAAUUAAUUCUUCGGACACCUUUAACAAAUAAAUUUGGAGAAGAAAUGAUUUUUGAAUUUAUCUCUCCAAUUUUACCUCAUCAACUUUUAAAAAUUAUUGUUUUGAAAAGUGAACAAAUGAAAAGAAAAUAAAACAAACUAGUUUUCGAAAAUAAGAAAUUCGAUUACAAAAGAAUUGAAAAAAGUUUAAAAGAAUUUUCAAUUUAAAAUAGGAUAAAAGAAAUGGACACUUGCAAAAAUAGCAAAUAUAUAUAUAUAUAUAUAAGAUAAUAGACAUAUGUUACUACAUUUUCUAAAAUGCAAAAGUAGCAAAUUUAAAAGUCGAUUACCCUCUGAUAGCGCUCCGAUAGUCAUCUUAUAGUUGUCUAAUAUCACUAAUUUUGUCAUAUUCGCAAUAUGCAAAAAGUAGGUGUCGUAUGCUGUUUUUUUUUUAAAUGUUUUUGUCAUCUGAUGCAAUUUCUCAUUCAAUUUAAAAUUGAAAAGAAAUUUGUUCUAGUUCACCACAUGCAUUGUGGGAUAGGAAAAAACACAUAGUUGAUCUUCCAUAUUCUAAAGAAUUCAAAGAAUCGGAUAUCCCAACAAAGACUAGAUCGAUUCAAAUAAAUUCAUACUUGCUAACACAUUGUAGAAAAGAAAUACAAAACUUUUAGAUAAAAAUCUAAUAAGAUACUAUAAAAGUCUAUGGUCGUGUGUCGACUUUUAUGUCAAUAACGUCGUCGAAAAAGAGCAUGGAGUUCCAAGGUUAGUAACCAACUAUAAACCUUUAAACAAAGUCUUGGAAUGAAUUAAAUAUCUAAUUCCCGACAAACAAUAUUUAUUAAAAAGAAUUGCAAAUGCAAAAAUAUUUUUAAAAUUUGACAUAAAAUUCAAAUUUUGGCAAAUUCAAAGUUUCGAAAAAGAUAAAUACAAAACUGCUUUUAAUGUUCCGUUAAGACAUUAUGAAUAGAAUUUAAUGCGUUUUGGGCUAAAAAAUGCACCAUUAGAAUUUCAAAAAAUCAUGAAUGAUAUUUUUAAUGAUUUUCAAGAUUUUACAAUUGUUUAUAUUAAUAAUGUUUUGGUCUUUUCUCCAAAUAUAAAAAAGCAUUUUAAGCAUAUCAAUAUUUUUAUAGAUAUUAUAAAAACAAAUGGUUUGGUAGUCUCUCUACCAAAAGUAAAAUUAAUUUGAAACAAAAAUAAGUUAUUUGGGCUUUGAAAUACAUGUAGGAGAAUUUAAGCCGAUUCAGAGAUCAAUUGAGUUUGCUUUAAAUUUUAGGGCUGACAAGAACAAUGACAAUUUAUGAGGUUUAUUUUGAGAAAAUAGCAAAUUUAAUUUUAAAUUGUUAGAAUGGUAAAACUCAAAAAUCUGUAAAUAAAUAAAUGAAACAAUGUCUCAAAUGCCCCUACCCAAUUCAAAAUCAGUUCUAAAUACAAUUGUUCAUCUAAACCCCAAAUACCUUGUAAUUAAAUAACACAUCCUUGUUGAAAUUGUGCAUGUUUAGGUAUUAAAAGCCGAAAAGAAUCCAGCUUCACUACCUUCCACUUUCGUAGAUUCCACUAAAUCUUCAAAGUCUUCGAUUCAUUUGCUGAAAAGAUUGGAGCUUUAAACUUCGUUCUUCUCGAAACCUUCAAAGUUUUCAUACAUUCAGUGCAAAUCAAAGAAUUUUCUUCUUGUCAACCAUCUUUUUCAUCAAACCGAUUAUAGAUUCUUUUUUGUUUCACGCAAAGGUAAGCUUCUUCAACGGAUUUUCUUCUUCGCUCGUUUAAAUUACAACAACAAUAUAUCCGCUUGAUUUUUAGAAAAGAUACAAUGUAUGUCACAAAACCCCAACAACAACAAAGACACUAAAAUUCGACGGCUGACAGUGGCUGAAAGUUUUGGCAUAAUCGGUGAACGAAUGCAGAAGAAGAAAACCGGCGCAACUGGGCGUGUAGCGGAGGAGAUGUUUCUUUAUAGCUUAGUUCUUGAUCAACAUAAUGGAGGAGAUGGUUACAAAGGUGAGAUCUCGAUUGGACGAAGAACACUCGAACGGAGAUAGAAGUGUCAGCGGCGGCUAGGGUUUGGUGAAGUGAAGAAGAUGAUGAAUAGUAAUAAUAAUAUUAUUAUAUUAUUAUUUCCCUUAAAUAUCUUCCUUUUCCUUUUUUUCUUUUCCAAUUUAAAUAAAACAAAUCUUUUCUUCUCAAUUAAUUCUUCCAAAAAUAAAAUAUUAUUUUUAUAAAUAUUUUGAAUAUAAAUAAUUCGAAAAUGUUAAAUUUAUGUUUGCUAUUAUUUUGGAGAUAUAAAUAAUCUUAGCAUGAUUUUAGGGAUAAAAAUUUUAAAUUCAAAUUAUUAUUAACAUAACUAUUUUUAUAAAUUUUUAAAUCAAUUUUAAUAUUUUGACGGUUUCAAAUCAAAAUUUAAAAUCUAUUUUUAAAUAACAAUUAUGGAAAAUAGAUAAAGAUAUUAACAAGAUAAUCCUAAAAUUUUGAAAUUAUGUUUGACAUUAUUUUAGGAAAUCAAUCAAUACCACGAUUAUAGGGGAAGAUCAAAAUUUUCUUAGAAUAAUCAUAUAUAUAUCAUUAAAUGCAUCAUAAUUAUAGGGUAAGAUACAAUUUUAAUUUUAACAACCACAACUAAAUAAAUUGUUAAUUACUUGAUUUGAAACCUACAAACAAGAAAACUGGAAUAAAUUGUAGCUUAAAUCUAGGGAUGUUGAUUCAAUCAAAUUAUUUCGAAAAUAAAUAUUUAUUUAAUAUUUUUACACAACUGAAUGAUUUGCAAAUACAAUGUAUUCGUGAUUUGGGUUAUAUUCCAUCAUUACCAUCAUUUUAAUGUAGUAGACUAUAUCUAUCAGAUAAGAAUUUUCCUCUAUACAAGUAAAAUCGACUAAAAAUAUAAAAAAGUGAAAUUAUUAUAUUUAUAUUUGACAUAAUUUUAGGGAAGAUCUAAAAUUUAAAUUCAAAUUGUUAUUAAAACUAUAUCAUGUAUUAUUUAAUAAAUUGUACAAAAUAACAUGUUUAGUUAAGAUUUACAAAUUUGAAUGUUAUUUACAAAAUAGUGAAUUUGUGCUAUUUUCAAUAUCAUGUCUCGUUUUUUUACCUAUUGAAAUAAAUUGUAUUUGGAAUAUGUGAAAUCAAGAUGGUAAUGAACUACAUCUUGAUGACCAAAUUUUUUAUCUUUUUUUGUGUGUCCAAAAUCUGUUGAUUGGAAUAUGUUUGUAUAAUAGAUGACUAUAAGAUUUUAAAGAUUGUGGAUCACAAUUAUGAUGUAUUUGAGACUCUUACUAGAUGAAAAUAAACGUAGAUAUUAACGUAAUUUAAAAACACGUCUCAAAAUAAUUAUUCCUACCAUUGGCACAAUAAAACAAUUUUUAAAAAAUAAAAUAACAAUUAGACGAUUUUAGGGAAGAUAAAAUUUUAAAUUCAAUUUGUUACGAGCAAUACGUAUUUUGGAGGUAAAUUUUAAAUUCAAUAAUUUUAUAAAUAUUUUGAAAUAUAAAUAAUCAAAAAUGUUAAAUUUAUAUUUGCCAUUAUUUUAGGGAUAUCAAUCCAAUAACACGAUUUUAGGAGAAUUUACAAGAAUUUAAAAUCAAUUUUUAAAUGGUAGUAAAUAAUAUAUAAAGAAAAUGUUUCUAAUUUAAUGAUAAUUACAUAACAAGAUUGCAUUGUGUUAUGUUACCAUUUAUUCCCUAAAAUAAUCUUAACAAUUUAUUAUUAUUAAUAUGAUCAAUCCGAAAAUGGAAUAAUUGCUAUAUACAUAAUUAUAGGAAGAUACACCAUUUAUAUGAAGUUGUUAUUAUAUAAAAUGCAUAAUUUUAGGUAAAAGAUAUUAUUUUAAAUUCAAAUUUUUGAAUCUUCCAACGAACCUACAAUUAAGCAAUAGAUAAUCUGUUAUAAAUUUAAGGCAUGAAUCUAGAAUUUAGUUAAAUGAGAUCAAUAGAUAAAAUAAAUAUUUAUUUAAUAUUAUUAUAAAAUUGAAUGAUAUCCAAAUACAUCGUAAUCGUAAUUAUGUGUUAUGUUUUAUUGUUUUACGGUUCACAAAUAUAUUGUAAUUAACAAAAUGAUAUUCAUUCUAUCAAGGGAUAAAAUCGGUUGAAAGAUUCUCAAAAAGUAUAUAUGUUUUACAAUUUUGCUAAAAUUCAAAUUAUUUUUUAAAUUUGCUUUUUUCCAAACUGCACUAUCUUAUUUUGUAAUUCUCACAAUUUUCUCUAAAUUUUACUAAUCAAAUUCGAGAUAAAACCCAUCUUCAAAGGUUUUUGGACUGCCUAGAUUAUGUGCUUGAUUUCAUAAAGAACCUCAACCGCAUUUGCAAACCGUUGUACAAAAGGUUAAAGAAAAAUUUAAAACCAUGGUCUGAUAAGCACACCCAAAUUGUUCAAAAAAUUAAGUCUUUAGUCAAAUGAAUCAUUUGUCUCAAUCUCAUUAAUUCAAAAGCAAACCUUAUCAUUGAAAUUGAUGCCUCUAAUAUAGAAGAUGGAGGAAUCCUCAAAUAGUGUCUAGAUAAGACCGAAUCAAUGAUCUGACUCCACUCAGAAAUUUGGAAUGAUACACAAAAAAUUACUCAACGAUAAAAAAGGAAUUACUUGUCGUAGUUCUUUGUGUCUUAAAAAAUUCCAAGGAGAACUAAUCAAUAAAAAAUUCAUAAUCAAAACAAAUUCAAGAGCUUCAAAAUUCGUGUUAGAAAAAAAUGUGAAAAAUCUUGUUUCAAAACAAAUUUUUGCCAAAUGGCAAACCGUCUUGCUUUGAUUUUGAAGUUGUGCCUAUAAAAGGAUAACAAAAACCCCUAGUUGAUUACAUCUCAAAGGAGUUUCUAACUCCAAAACUCUCUCCUUUUUAAAAGCACUCGAAGAAGAAGAAUGAGUUUGGAAAAGGAAAGUGCAAGAUGAAGAGUAAACUCGACCUCUUCAAAGGGCAACCACCCAUCUCUUCUUCUUCUAAUUAUGCACCUUCACACAUGAGUGCAGAUCAAUAUGCUAUGGAUAUAAGGAAUACCACAGUAACCUAAUCCAGAGUAAGAUCAUCGGGCAUACGGACUGGAUCUCCCAUAGAGCCAUCAACUCCAUCUAGGCCUUCGGCCAAUCUCAUCUGUCCUUCUAGCGGAGUUGUUCCAAUGAGGCUUCCUACCUCUCCUUCAUCCAAUAGGGAGUCUUCCACUCCUCCUCUAACUUAUUCUCAUGCUGUCACUUUCGAUAAACGGUUCGUGCCAAGACCCAAGAUCAAAACUUAUUUUUAAAAUUCGAUCGUGGUCUAUGGUCCUAUCAUAGAACUCGAAUAUCAAAGUCUCACUCUAUAAGAGAGUUUAAAAAAUAUUCCCCCAAGGGCUUCAACUUCGAUCCAAAAGACCUCAAAAAAACAAGAAAAUUCUAUGAGUAUAUUUUAGCUGAUCCUUUAAAAAUUGCAUAUUCAAAAUUAAAAAAUUUCAAAGCAAUCAAUUGAUCAACUCAUUAGAAUCAAAAACAUUUUACAAAAAAAAUCAUUUUCAAAGCGUUUUGUUCCUCAAUCUUACUCCUUUCAAGAUUACAUCAAAACUUGGUUUAGAGUAUUUUAAUUUUCAAAUAGAAACCAUUCGUGGUUCUUUCUUUUUGUCAAAACGCCUACAAAAUUAAUUUUCCUUUAUGGUUUAUUCAAUGGUUGAAUAACUUUGGUAUUACCAACGAUAUUCUACCAACUCCAAUUCAAGAAUCAUAUUUUUAUUUUUCAAGAACAUUUCAAAAGAAUUCAUUUCAUAAUUCGAUGAGAUUUUGCCUUUAUUUUCAAAUUCUAUGGAUAUUUUGUUGGAGCUACAAUAUAACAUCAUAUCCUCAAUACAAAAUGUUAGUAAAAAAUCUGAAGAUCCAACGGUGGGAAAAAUAAAACUUUCAACAUGUCACCGUCAACACACGUGAAAGAAUGGUUUGUAAAGAACAACUAUUUACAAGACCUUGAUCAAAGAAAGAAUGCUGAAUUCUUAAAUGAUAAACCAAAGCUUCUUGCAGAACUUGCUCAAGCCACGACUGAUGUAGAUUUCCAAAGAUUACUAUUAACAGCAAGUAAAUGCUUCCUCAUCUUCAAAUCAAUCUCUUCCUCCAUAUAGGAAGUGAAGAGCAAGCAGAUCCAUAAUACGAUCUGGAUGACCCGUAUCUCGACUCACGACCUAUGUGAGCUCCGAACCCAUAUACAUGUUUCAAAAGGAAAAUAGAUUAUAUAUAGAGUCUUCUAAAAGAAGAUUUCUAUUCAAAUUAUUAUAUUAUAAAAAAUAAUAAAAAUAAAAUGUAUUUUCGCAUCCCUAGUAUAAAAAAUAAAUAUUGUUCUGUCAUCCAGAAAUUCAGGAAAAAAAUGAAGACAAUAAGUACAAUUCAAGAUCAAGUCUAAAAGCUAAAAUGAAAUUGUGUAUAUUUCGUAAAGUGUUAAACUACAUUUGAUGGUCGGGAUCGUAAGUGACAAUGUUGAAGUGCAGGGAGUCCAUUGGUCAGUCAAUAAUGAAGGUACCAAAUACGAAUAAUAGUAUACACAAUUACAACUUGAAAGGACAACAAAUAUUCUUGGAGAGUAGAAAGAAAACUUCAAUUUCUCCUUGGAUCAAUGGCCGACAAAUUCAUUUCCUGUUAUAAAUCUUUCCAUUUAUUAUGCAGAUAUAGUAAUGUUAAUAAUUAAUAUGUGUGAAUAAUAAAUACGUUAGUUACUAACUAUGCACAAUAAUUAUAAAACUAUUAAAGUAAAUUAUUAAUAAAGCAGUUUAUUAGGUGGUGGAAAUUUCCACACUUUAGUUUUGUACGAAAAUAUGAUUUCAAUAAUUAUCCACUACUUUCUAAUUUAUAUAAAUAAUUUUAAAAUUUUAGGAUUUUACCAUCCACCAAAUCUUACUCUGAACCAUUUUAUCUAGUUGAUUCGAUCUUAUCUUUUUUCUUCAAAAUUUUAUCGAAUAAGAGGUUAUGUUCUAUCUGAUUUGAUUUUAUCUUCUUUUUUUUACUUCAAUUGCGUUUGAAAUUCGAAGUCUAUAAAUAGACUUUCAAGUUGUAAUGCGAAGCAUGUCACGAAAUAUUAUUUAGCUCAUGAUAUUUUCACUGCAUUCUUUUCUUGUAAAUUAUCAAGCCUAAUUCUCUUUACAGUUAGCAUCAAGCAUGCAACUCAAACUCAAAACAGAGUGUACACUAUUUUAUUAUCUUUUAAUUAGUGAUGUAUGUUUAAUUAAAGUUUAAAUUGUAUGUGUAUAAAGUAUGUCAUAUAGAUUUAAAAUCUCAUUAUAAGUUGACAUGUCCACGCAUUCAAAAUAUGUUAUAAUGGCUAUAAUGUAUAGUGUGCAUGUUAAUUAAUUUAUAUGGAAGUUAUUAAUAUGAUUAAUUAAUUUUGAUUAAAUACGAUUUAAUAAAAUUAAUUAUAAAUUUAUUUAAUUUAAUUAGAAGUUAAAUAAAUUAAAAUCCAUAUUUAUUAGAGUCAUUUUUAAAAAUAGUAAAAUAAAUUAAAAUAUUUAUAAACUAUAAUAAAAUUUUGAAUUCUAUUACCGUAGUAUAUCAAUGAAUCAGUAAAAAUUUACUAUAGGUUGUAAAUAUUUUGUAAAAGCUACUAUUUUUUAAAAAAAAAAAUCCUAGUUUUAAUUUAAUUAAAUAAAAUUAAACUAAACUAUUUUUGAUUGAGAUAAUCUUAGUGUCAUUCAAAUUACUCACAAUAGUGUAUUUCAUGAACGAGCAAAGCACGUUGAGAAUGAUUGACACUUUAUUCGCCAUCAUCAUAAAGCAAAACUCUUCAUCUUCAAUUCAUCUCCACCACAGAACAACCAGCUAAUAUCUUUACGAAAGCUUUUCGUUCUCUUUGCUUCACUCAAUUACUUCACAAAUUCAAGUUGGUCUCUAUUCUAAAUUAUGAAAUUACUUGAUAUAUUUUUCUUAUCUUACUCUCUUUUUAUAUAUAAUUAUCUUUAUAUUAGUUCUGUAAUAUAGUCAAUUUUGGCCAUAGAAAUUACUUACCAAUAAUUUCAAAAAUAUGAUGACAUGAAUGCUAUCGUACAAUUCUCUCAUUUGUAAGAAUAGAAAAAAGAAAUCUACAAAUAUAACCAAAAAAAAAGAAAAAAACCGUCCAAUUCUCUAAUAGUCUAUUAAAUUAUUUUUAUGAGAAAAUAGUUUAAAUUAUUUGUUUAUUUUGGAAAAUUGGAUGACAAAACAAUUAGAAAAAAAAAUAGCUAAAGCACCUCUUCCUUGGCAAAUACGACAAAAUGAUACAUAUAUCAAAUGACUAUAGCUAUCCGUUUUUAAAUUUACUAUUUUAGUAAUUUAGAAAAUAGAGUGAUAUAAACCCUAAUUGUUUUUACUAUUUUUACAACACUUUUUUUUUUUUUGUAACAAUUUAUCAAACACUGAAAAAAUUAGAAAUAACAAAACAAAAACAAAUUUGGAUUGUGCAAUUAAUUUUCUUUAUUGUUGGGAGAUAAUUUUUUAAAUAAAAUAUUUAUUAUUAUGGAAUUUUUUAAAAUAUAUAACAAAAAUGUAAUAUAUUUAUAUCGUAUUGAUCAAAUUUGAAAACGAAAAAAUUCCAUAGACCUACAAUGAAAAUACAAAAAAUACCAUAGUCAAUAUAUGAUUAAUCAGUCACACGCACGCAUGUAAUUCUUGUUCUAAACGAUCAUGAUACACGAUCAUGUUGGAAAUGAUACACAAUCGUGUAGGUAAUAUCAACACAAUCAUGUAAUUAGUAUCAACAGGAUAGUGUAGUUUUUUUAACGAUGAGAAAAACGCUUCAAAUCUAAACGAUCGUGUUGACCACGCUAAACAGUCGCGUUGACUAUGGUAAGCGAUCACUUAGAUCAUAUCCACACGGUCAUGUAAUUCUUUUCAAAACGAUGGAAAAAUGGCUUCAAAUUUAAACGAUUGUGUUGAUUAGAUAAGCGAUCGUUUAGAUUAUAUUCACACGAUCAUGUAAUUCUUUUUAAACAUGGAAAAAGGACUCCAUAUCUAAACGAUUGUGUUGAUCAUCCUAACUAAGUGAUCUUUUAUAUAUAUGAAAGUAAUAUCUAAACAAUCUUGAUAUUCUAGAAGAUGAGUUGGAAGAAAGAAAUAAAAAAUAAAGAUGAAGAAAAAUAUAAGAAAAAAAAUCUGAAAGAGAAGUUGUAGAAAUCUGGAAAAGAAAAUGAAUAAAUCGAAAAGAAAGAGAAUGGAUUAAUUGUUCACGAUAUCAAAAGCAAAUCUAGAAUUUAAGAAAAUAUUUUACCAGCUUUAUGAACUUUUUGUUUUUGUUAGCAGUAAAUAUUUUGGUUUUUUUUAUUACAUUUAUGAAAAUGAGUAGAAACAUUUCUAAAAAUAGCAAAAUAAAUUAAAAUAUUUAUAAAAUAUAACAAACUUUUGUAUUCCAUCAAUAAUAGUCACAUAUAUAUUUCUAUUACUGUCUAUCAAUACCACUUAUAGAAGCGUAAUACUCACUAUCAAUGUUUAAUACUGAUAGAAUCUGAAAAUUUUGUAAAUAUCUAAAAUCACCCGAUACGUCAGAAAUAUUUUGUUAAAUUUGAUAUUAUUCAACAUGCUUCACGUCAUUUCAAACUAUUCAGGACAAUAGUUAUAAUGCAAACAUUUAAUUCAAUUAAAUGCAAACUGUUCGGUGUAUAUAUAUAUAUUUAUGAAUUAACCAGCUGUCCUAAAACAUAUAACAUUUGUCACUCACAGCCCCACAACCAAUCCUCUCAAUUAAGACACUUUGAAUUCAAAUUCUUCCCUUUCAAUUCAUGAUUCAUCUAUACAUAUAAAUAUAAGGGGAAAUUUUUAAUUUACCUCUUCAUUUUAUAUAUUUUAUUUAUUUAAAUCUAAAUUAAUAAUUAUAUAUGAUUUAAUCUUUAGCUUCUGUAAAAAUUUCAAUUGACACUACUUUUAAGAUUUGAAUUUUGAUCAAAGUUGCAUGAAACAUAUAAUUGUUUAUGUUAAUCUUAAAUUAUAAUAACAGAAAUAAUUUAUAUCCUUUAUUAAGAUUAAAUAAAUUAUCCAUGUAUUUAAAUCUUCCACUCUCGAAAUAGAAUUUAAAUGUUAAAUUUAUCAAAUAAAUAAGUAGGAGUUCAUGUAUGAAUUUUGUUAAACAAAGUAAUAGAAUAUCUAAAUUGAUUUGUUUAUAGACAUUAUAAAGAUAUCUAGAAACGUUUAAUUGAUGCGAAGAAGGGCACCAUACUAAAGUAUUUAGAAAAAUAUUAGUAAAAUAUCACAUCGAGUGAUAUACUAUUAAUAAUAGUAUAAUGUAAUCUAUACAAAAGUUUUUUUUUUUUUGUUUAUUUUAGUAUAUUUGAAAACAAAUUGAUAUAAUGGUUAUGAUACCAUCUAUAAUUUAAAUUUUAAGGGUUUAAGACAAACUAUUUAUACUUUAUAGAAAAAAUUACUGAAUAUAACUUUCCAAAUUUUUAAAAAUCUACUUUGAUUAAAUUUAAAUUCAUAAAAACUAACCAAAACUAAUUCAUAAAAACUAACCAAAACUAACAAACCAGGUUAAUAGAACUAAAGUAAAUCCACUCUUUACAUAUCUUAAUCAACAACGAGAAGACUUACUUAUUUUUGUAUAUGUUUAGAAGGAGCUUUUGUAAAAAUACUUAUUUUGUAUAUGUUUAGAAGGAGCUUUUGUAAAAAUAGCAAAAAUGUAUGAUAAUAGAAAUCAUGUCAUAAGAUUUUUUAAAUUUAUAAAAUUUGAGGGAUAACUGCCUCAUAGUCUCAUACAAUUACUGUCUGUUAGUCCUACAACAACUCUUGCAACAACUCUAGAUUACGGAUGAUUAUCGUUUAAUAGUAGUCUGAUAUCAUUAACUUUGUCAUAAUACGUCAUAUUCGAAGUAUGCAAAAAAAAUAGUGUUGUCAAACUUAUUUUGAAAUAUUUUUGCAAUUUUUCUUUUUAUAAAAGACAGCAUGAAAAAAUCUAGUAAGUUUUAAUAAAAAGCAAAAAUCUUCCCUAACAAUUUUUUUUUUUUUGGUUGAAAAACUAUGUAAGUUGGAGACAUAAAGAUAUUUGCAACCUAAUCAUCACCAAGAUAUUGUUCAAUUUUACUUUACAGCAACCUAAAAAAGAGAAAAAAGGUGAAACAUUUAACAAAGAAAACACCAAUCUAAAAAUAUCUUUAUAGAAACAUACCAUACCUAUUAUUUUAAUUCAUUAAAAGAAAAAGAAAAGAGAUAUAUGAUCAACAUGAACCUACUUUAAUAACUUUCUUUUAUUGUUUUAUUCAUAGGAAUAACUAUAAAAUUAUUCCAGCUUAAUUUCCACACAUAUGGCCAAAAGAAAGACCCUCUAACACCUUGGAGUGGGAACACCACAUUUGGAAGCAACAUGUUUGGCGCCAGGAGAAUUCACAUAAGGACUCAAAGCUGGGUUCUUUAUGUACCCGCAAAGACAUUGUUGCUGCUCUCUCAAUUUGCUGCAGCAAGUGGCGGAUGGGUCUGCCAUCGACGUGAUUGCCCUGGCACAUGAGCUCAGCUCCGAAGGUCUGCAACUCACCGCCUCUGCAACACGAACUCCGCCAAGAACGGCCAGCACGAAAAGACAAACAACUGUGACUGGAAGAACUUUGUUCAUUGUCUCUUGGUUUUGAUAGAAAUCAGUAAUGUUUGUUGAAGGGAAAGGGAAAAGGAAAAGGAGAAAGAGGAAUAAUAUGGCUUUAAUUGUCUGUUUUUCCCCCCAACUCUUUUUUGUUUGUAUUUAUAGCCACAUAAAGUUGGAAGAGUUGAUAAAAGGGCCAACCCUAUUAUUAAUUUCUCAUUUCCAAUUUCACCUACUUUUCUCUUUGAUUUUAAUUGCUUCCAACAUCCUUUUCCAUAAAGUUAAUAUUGUGAUGAUAACAAUUAACAAAUAUUGUUGGCAUUGAUUUAAAUGUUGGGUUGCUCUACACGUUUGAUCUAUUCUAGAGCACAAAAAUUACCACAAUUAUUUUAACAUUUUUUUGAAUUAUCCUAAAUCAUAAAAGGAAUUAGAGACGAAUAUAUUUUGCUUGUUUUUAUUUCUUUUUACAAUGGUUUGGUAUAAAUAUGCAAUACAAGAUAAUAUUAAAUAUGAAAAGAUUGGGAUAUAAUCAAAUAUACAAUUUGGGCAAAAAUAAAGGGCAGAAAUUGAGGAGUAGAUUAUGAAGAGGAUUGUGAUUUUGGAAAAUAUCCUCUAAUAUCCUCCCUCAGAUUGAUGACUCAAAAUGAGUCAAUAGUUUGUCUCGGAGUUGUAGAAGUGUUGUAGAUGAGAGUGACUUUGUUUGUAGAUCAACAAGUUGAUCGUUGGAAGAGAUGUAACAAAUGAAAGUUUGAAAAAAGUGGUAAUCAAUCUCAAUGUGUUCAGUGCGAGCAUGAAACACGAGAUUAUGAACCUGAGAUAUAGCUAAAACAUUAUCACACCAUAAGGUUGUUGAAGAUUUAAAGUGGAACAUGAAGAUCACAUAGAACUUGUCGGUUCCAGUAAAGAUCUGCAGUGGUAGUGGCGAGUGAGCAAUUUUUUGCUUAUGUGGAAGAACGUUAGACUGUAGGUUGCUUUCUAAAAGACCAAUAGAUAUGAUUAUAACCAAGAAAGACAAUGAAUCCAUAGGUGGAAUGUCGAUCAGAAGUGUCGCUAGCACAAUCAGAGUCAUAAAAGGUUUAUAGAUAUAAUUAAUGAACCCAUGCAAAAUUUUAUCCCAAGGGUUGAGUACCACAUAGAUAUCGUAGGAUGCAUUUGAUUGCAGAGAAGUGAAUAACAGUGGGUUUGUGCAUCAAUUGACUAACACAAUUUAUAGAGAAUGAAAUAUCAUGGUGAGUAAAGUAAGGUAUUUUAAUGAAAGGAGUCAGAUGGAUGGGUCAUUAAAUGACAAAACUGUUGAAAUUUAUGUCAUAAAACUCGUAGUUUGUAGUUUAAAAGUAUAUUUUAUUCAAUAAAGUGGUUAUUGAGGAUUUAUUAAUAGAAUACUAUAAUCUUGAAUCUAAAUAAACUAAGGUCCUUAUGCUACCUAGUGUAGACUUGAAUUUACAUAAAUGUGGAUCAAGUUCAAGUAUAUAGCCCAAAUGGUCUAUAGUGUAUGAAUAAGCCUUAUUCUUGUUGUAGUUAGUACAAACGAUAUGAUCCUGAAUCGUUCAUGUAGAGACCAUGGAAGUUGGAGUAUCCUAUGUACAAAGUUUACAUAAGACUGAAAUCAUAAAAUAAUCACUUUUAAGUUAUAACACCAUUGAUUGUAUAAAACUGACUAUUUUGUUUAUUGAUGACCCAUGUAACUUAAUCUUAAUCCUAAGUUAACUAUGAACUUUGUUCACACGAAAUUAUCCUUAGAUCUGCAUAGGUGAGGUAGCUCAACGACACUGACACAAUAAGCCUCCCAUUUUAGGAGUAAGAUUGGGUGGAUGGCUAGGUGUAACGAUCCAAACUUUUCAAACUAAACUGAGGUAGUUACUUUAAUACAAAUGCACUUCUUUUAAACAUGAGUGUUUAUAAAAUAUGUUAAAAUCAAUAAACAUCAAAUAAAUCUUUAUUCAGGCCCUAUUUCAAACAAAAUUAAAGGUUCGAAAUUAUUGUUUAUAAAAUCAAGAAAUAAAUUGUUGUGCUAAACAUGAAAUUCGUUUCAGUCACAACUACUAAAGUAAAACAAAAGAAAACUGUAAGCGGAAGCUAUUUUAAAGAAAAUCCUCCUAUGGCGAUCACGUCUCCUUCUUAUUCCUCGUUGGUCGGUCUCUUAUAUUACUUUUGCCUGAAAGUUAAACAUAAAAGGGUGAGUAUAAACAUACCCAGCAAGAGACACACUACUGGUCCCACUAGGGUAAAAUUAUUAACUUUCUAUUGGAAGGUACCAUGUAUCAUAACAGUCUUGUGAUCCCGUAGGAUGCACAUAAUUAAUCUAAUGCUCAUAAAAGAUGCACAUAUCAGUCUAGUGCUCCCGAAGGAUGCACCUAUCAGUCUAGUGUUCAAAAGGAUGUACAACAGGUGGUGAUCCCGUGGGGCACCUGCAAGACACACUACCCUACAGAUAAAGCUAACAGUUUCCCUCAGUCCAUACUAACAUUUAAAACAGUCAACUCAACUUAGAAUAUAAACUACCAUUAUAUCCUUCUUUCAGCUCAACACAUAUACAUUAAUUUACCCAAACCAAUACAUAAUCAAACAUCAUCAGAACAGUCCCUCAAAUAAUUAAAUUUAUACAUAAGCGUCACUCACCUCAGUUCAGUCAAUUCAAUCUAGUUUGUCAAUUCAACCUACAUUACACUACCUAUGCCUUAACAUAACCGUCAACAACCCACAAUCUAAUCAAUUCGAUAUCCUCAGUUCAGUCAUCAAACUAAUUUUACAUAUCGGUCAACUCAUCUCAGUUCAAUAAAAUUCAUAUAAUAAACAGUCAUCAAAUAUAAAUUUGCUUAUCAGUUAGUCCAUCUAAGUUCAGUGGAAUCCAUAUAGUCAAUACAUCUUAAUUUCAUCAUUGAGUCCAGUAGUAGGAACCCUUACCUUAACUUCAUUUAUUCCACUAAAGUUCAACAAAAACAACCUAAACAUAAGUAAACAGAAAUCAAUGACUUCCAGAAACAAUUUCAUCUAUUCAAUUCAUCCUAUAUAUAUAAUUUCCACAACUUACCCAAAACGUGGAGAAUUGGAGUCCAACCCCACUCAUUUGAAACUCAAGGAAUUUAAGUGUUGUCCACAAUUUGCACCUUGAAGAAACAAUAUCAAUCAAUUUACUAACCCAACCAAUAUUGGUUAUUGAAAACAAUCACCAAAACCCAAAACUACACCCUUACCACAAACCACAACAAGGUAGAAACAACGGCUUUCGAAACCAACACAAAAGAGAUUGUGCAAAAUAGAUAUGCGUGUGGGUUGGCUUGCAACUCGUAAACGGACAACAGAUGUAGACGAAGGCAGAUUGAUUCGAAUCUUCAACAGCAGCUACGCGCAACGGAGAAUUCCACUAUCUCCCUAGUUCGUUUUCAACAUAUUCUUAUGUGAAAUUUAUUGUUUCAAUUCUUUAUUGCUUUGGUUUAACACCGCUUUGGAUUCUUUGCAGCAAAAGGUGGUAAAACCCACUACUUUAGAAGCGUCCCAAACAGUUUGGAAUCAGUGGAGCAUUGCCGUCCAAGAGGGAUCUCACUCACUUUGUCAAAUGGCCCAAAGUUGUUUAAAUUUAGAGAAAAAAUAGAAUUUUGAAGCAGAGGCUAAAAAUUCCACCAACAUUGAAUCUGUUCUAUUUGACUUUCUUUUUUCUCUUUUCUUUCUUGUUGUCAUCAUCAAAAUUUUCAACUAUACGUAUAAAGACGGAGAUAUUUUAUGUGGACAACUAUACGGCCGUCCGAACUACUUUUAACUUAUGUGGCUGGAUCUAAAACUUAGAAGAUUGUCCAAGUUUUCUGUUGAACAAUGCAUGUACCAGAUUUUGUGCAUUCCCAACAUGAUACAUUCUUAUGCUAUGUUGGGAAAGGGGGUUCUCUGUUUAUAAUCACAAUCACUUUAGCCCUUAUUUGGGGGUCAAGGUUGCCUUUCACUUCUCCUCCCUCAUUUUGUAUAAGGGCAAGUAUUUCUUUGUCUAAAAGGGUUCAAACUCUCCUACUAUUAUAAUCAUUCAACAUUCUCUGUAAUGAUCAAUUCUUUAUUCCUCUUAGAUUUAUUAGGUUUUACUUUUAAUUGCUGCAUAUAGUUCUCUUACCUUCGUAUAGACAAAAAGGUGUUUCUGAGAGGUUUUUCUUUGAUAAGUUAAACGCUUGUAUUUUGUUGGAUUUGGCCUAUGGUAUUGAAAAUCUCAAAUCAAUUGAACGCAAUGUCUUGUUUACACAUUUGAAUUGAAACUUUCCUAUACCUAUAUUAUACAUAUUUUUUCUAUUCUUUCCCACAAAUGUGUUAUAUCGACUUAUCUAUUCUACAUAAUUUCACGCAUGGCUAGCACGAUGUUCCCGUUUUCAAGGGAUGCCAAAAUUACUUUUCACUCAUUCUCGUAACUCCAUUGACGGAUAUAUUUCCUAAACCUAAACGGAUCUGCCUGCUCAUGCAUUUCCUAAUCAUGUGAUAAUGUUGAAUCUUCCUUUAUUAUAUAUAUAUAUUAUUGAUGUAAUUAAGAAGUUAUUUAAUAGUAAUAAGAGUUGUUCUUUAAUAGAAAUAUGUACGUUCGUAAAAUGUUCAUAUAUAUAUAAAUGGGUUCAAAAUUUGAGGUUACAAAAAAAAAAUGAAAUAAAUAAUAUAAGGUAUUUUUUUAAAAAAAAAUCAAACCCGCGAUGCCAUAUGUAAGCGUCGAGACUUGUAUAUAAGAUCUCCCGACGACUAAAGAUGGCGAACUCCCAACAUCGUAUACAGUAUCUUCCCGACGCUGCAUAUCUUAGUGUUGUAAAGGCUUCUUUUGAUGCAUUUUAUCCGAGCACAGUUUUGACAGACAUUUUUUGGGAGAUCCUUUUUCAACUCUUUUUUCGUAUAUCUCCCAACGAUUGUGUGCGUUGGAAGACCCCUCAUUUUUUUGUAGUGAAUUUGUAACUCGAAUACUCUUAAUAAAAUUUCUCAAAACUUGUUCUUAAUGUGGACGUAGACCAAAUUAGUCAACCAACUUAUAUCCUUGUGUUCGUAUUCUCUAUUGGUUUGUGUAUUUUAUGGCUAUUGCAUUAUGCUUGGGUUGUGUUAUUAAUUAAUUUAGUCCAUUAAUUAAUACAAAUAAUCAUGUCAGUUUUUAUUCAAGAGUUGAUUGGGCUGCACUAUAUACGAUCCAAAUGAAAAAGUUAAUUCUACGUCUUUUACUUCUCUAGAUAUAUUUCACAUUCUUUUAUAGUAAUGCCAUUACAUAUUUGUAUAAUGAUAAAAAUUGAAGCAUAUAGAACAAAGAAAAUACCAGAUCACUUUCCUUUUUAUUCAUAGUCGUUUGAUAUUGUAGUAUAGGCUAUAUAUAUAUAUAUAUAUAAGAAAAGUCCAUUACAAAGCAUGACCUCUAGCAUUUGGGAUAGGGAACACCACAGGAGGAAAUAAUAGCUUUUGCUCGAGCAGAUUUCACGUAACCUCCCAAGCUUGGAUUCUUCAUAUACUGACAAAAGCAUGGCUGUUGCUCCCUCAGCUUACUGCAACAAGUGGUGGACGGUGCCCGUCGAUGUCAUUGCACCAAUGCAUGGACUCAGCCCAUGGUGUUGCAAGUUAUCGCGUCGGCAACACGAGCUCCAGUGAGAGGGCCGCCAUUGCCACCACCAAAAGGGGAAGACUUGUGAACCCAAGAUUUUUCAUUAUUUUUCUUCUUUUGAUAUAGAAAUGAGGGAUAGGUUUCUAUUUGCCGCACCUUCAAAACAACGUUUUAUAACCUCAUAAAGUGGAAUGUGAGCACCUCACUUCUAUACCAACUUCUCUGUUUUGGCUUAAACUUUUCAAUAAAAUUAAUUUCUGAGUUGUUAACUUUCAAUAAAAUUAAUUUCGAGUUGUUAACUUUAUGAUGGUAACAUCUAUAGUUUGCAUUAAAUAUAUGGUUGGUGGUGGUAAUAGUGACAAACUCCCAACUUUGGAACAGUGACCAAAAGUUCAUAUAAAAAUUAUUUUAAAUACAAAUAAGUACACAAUUAUUUUUUGGAGUUUAAAAAUAACAAAAAAAAUAUAUAUAUAUAUAUAUAAUAAAAUCUUAAAUUGUAAAAAUAACAAAUUUAAAACAGAUAAUCUCUAAUAACUCUCUCGUAAUCUUUUGAUAGAUUUUUUUAUAGUUGAUAUCAUUAAUUACAAAAAAACUUUUUCUAAAUUCUUUUGUCAUCUAAUAUAAUUUUUUUAUUUUUUCUAACUAGAAAAUAUUAAAGCUUUUCACCAAUAUUUGAAAGUUAGGAGGUUGGAAACUUUUACCUUGAUUAGUAGCAUAUGCCUUACAUACUGUUUGCAACAUUUUCUAUAUUUUCUUCUAAUAUUAUCAACUAACAACAAUUCUAAUCGAAGUCGGUAUGUACAAGAAUUUGUUUUACAUUAUUGUUUAAAUACCUGACAUUUGGUUUUUUAAUAUUUCAUAAUUCCAGAAUUCUAUGUUGAAUUUGUGCUCCUUAAUUCACCAAUCUUUGAUCUAAAUACAUGAAUCUUAGGAUUACACGAAUCGAGAGUCCUAUUUGUGGAUCUAAAUGUAUGUAUUUUCUUGGUUGCAUUGCAUUAAUUUUGGCCUUUAUGUUCUUCGUUUGCAUUUUAAUUAAUUGCUUUGCCGGUUGAGUUCACCAUGAACAGGAUUAAGAAACGUAUAACAAGGGUCGUAACACAACGGAAUUUUUUAGAGAAUCUGAAUGAAUGAGUAGAGAAUGUGGUAAUAUUUAAGGUUAUGGUUGAUGCAGAGUAUUGGGAGAACAGUCGACCUCUGGAGGGCCAACAUCCAGUGAGCCUGCAGCAAGAAAAGGAUAUUUCUUUAGCUGGGUGAACAAUUUCUGUUUCCGACGUAACAAAAAUGUCAAUAAAGAUGAUUUAUGUUGAUGGAUUUUCUAUGCAAAGGUAUAACACCAUGUUUCGCGUAAGAAAAAUAUAUCCUUGGAGAGAGUUGAUUGAUGUUAGUGAAACCCAUGAAGUUUGGGUUUCUGCCGACACAAGUUUUAAUUUCUGCUUAUGCAAUUUGUGUGUAGAUUAUUUCAAAAAUAACAUGUUACCAACUGAAAACUACGCAAAGUUUAAUUCAUUUUAAUUAAAUAAAGAAAUGAAAUCAAUAAAACAAUCUAAACAGAAACCAAAAUGUUUAGUAAAAUAUAAUAACCAAUCACCAAAAAAGUAAUUUAUUUGGACCAAUCAUGAGUUUAGGAUAAAUCUAUCAAUAGACAUGUGGCUCUAAAACAUGAAAACAAAAAUAAAGUAGCGAAAGCAUUGUCACAAUAGUUCCAAAUGGCACAAUCACAAUCGUAGAUCCUUCUUACCGGCCUUGUCUUUGUUUGAAAAAUUGAACAAAUACCCAGUAAGAGAUCAGUCUAGUAGUUCAUAGAGCACACAUCAAUAGUAAAAGUUAUCCACUUAAUGCACUACCUAUAAGUGGGGAUCCUAUAGAACACUAUACAUAUAGGGUAUAUAUUAACCUAAUAAUCAAAGUUAAUAGUUGUCAUUAGUUCAAACACAUCCUAGUUUAGUCAUUCUCAAUUCAAUUCAGUCAUAAACAUAACAUGUAAAAUAUAUUCAAUAACCUCAUUCGUAACCAUCAUGUCUCAAGUAUUUCAUUAUGAGUCAUCAAUUAAAUCAGUCAUACUAUCAAUGCCUAUUAAACCAACCCAAUAUAUAAUCAAUAAUAAUCACAUUAUCAAUCUCAGUCUUACUCAUGUCGAGGAUUUGGUGUAAUAAACCCCUUACCUUAAAUUAUAGAGUUUAGGGUGGCAACGUUGUUGCUUGAGAGAAAAUUUUAUGUUAACUUCGAUUGAAAAUUCAUAACUAUUAGGAAAAUACACCUUACAUAAGUCUCUGUGUCUGUUUUACCUUGGUUUUUAGUGUUUUAACUCAUAAUUAUGAAUAAAUGAAGAUAUUAGUGAAUCAUAUAAGAGCCCAUGCAAAAGACUACGCGAGAGAAUAUUGUCUGGUGAGUAUAAUUCUGAGGUGAGGAAUUACGUCAUCACGCGAGAAAGGUUCACUAGAAGACAAGAAUGGUAGUUGGGGUUGAUGUAACUUGACAAAUGCUACAAUCGACACUGACAUGAUCAGAAGAAUAGAUGUUUUCCAUCGAAAGAUGCCUAUAAAAAGACUUCAUCCUUACCAAGUAAAGUGGUCGACUUCGAAAAGAGUCAAACAUCUAAAUGGAUCGACCAAACCCUAAAAGUGGCGGAAAGGAGUAGUCUUUCUGUCCUCUGUAAAAAGUCAUUCUUCUUCUUCUCUGCACCCUUAAAAAGAAGUUUUAUAAGUCUUGUAAGUAAACACUUUUAGAUAGAUCCGUCUUAACCAAGUUUUAUCAUUUGUAUCUCGAGAAGGCAAGCUAGUGUGAGUUUAAGGCACUGAGAGGUGCUCAACUUAAUUAUAAGCUAGAUGGCUUAAUUGCCUAAUAACACGAAGACCUUCCUUGACACUUUUUAAUACAAGUUAGUUCACAUUUUCAUCUCGCCACUAUUUUUGUCCCCUUUUACAUAUUCUAGUGUAGAUAGUAGAUUUAGCUUAGACUUAUUAGAUAGUUAUUUUAUACCGACUAGAUGAAGAGUGAGCCUUAUAACUAAUGUUUUGUAUCAAUUCUCUAUGUUCGACCAUGAAUUAUCCAGAAAACCUAUUAUUUCGCUUCAUUUUUCUGUCAUACAGGGUAAAUACUUUCACUUUUUCUUAUUCAUGUAAAUUUCUCUUGAUAGCAUAUAUAUUGUUAAUUCACACAAAUAUUAAAGUGGUUCAUAAAUGAUAGACAUCUAUCAAUAAUGAUAAACCUACAAAUUUUUUAGUAAUCAACCAUACAAAAACAAUUUAGUGUAUCGACUAUUAAAAUGGUUCAGUCUAUUGUUGAUAGAUCCAAAAAAAUCGUAAAAAUAACACUUACACAUUAUUAAUUUUUUGUGAUAUAGUUACAAAUGUGUGGCAACGAAUUUUAUCACGUGACACUAAUCUUUAAGAAACAUAAAAUUCGCAAACAAAUGAUGGCAAUUUACUUGUUUGACUUUACCAAGCUUUUCAUUAUGUUAAUUAAUUUUCAUUUAUCAGUAUUUGGAUGAUGAUAUAAUUGUGCAGUGAAUAAACUUUAAUUAGUGUUCAAAGUUUUAGGCCUUAAUUAGUUCAAUUUUGAUUAGUGUUUAAAGAUUGCAUUAGUUAAAUUUUGAUUAGUGUCCAAAGUUUUAAAGACUAAGCGUGUCUAGACAGAGGGAUAAUCUAGAGUAGACUUUUUUAAUCACUAUAGUUAAUCUACAAUAUAGUGAUUUGAUAUUGGUUUAUAAGUGGUUCAAAAUAAUGAACUUUUAAGCCUUUUUUUUUUUUAACAGAAAUGAGAAGAGAAGAACCAUAUCAUAUACCUUUGGAUCAUUAGCUCGUAACACUUUUUUUUCAAUCUAUUUCUAAAUUUGUUAUUUUCACAAUUUUAAAAAUAUAAGUGACAUGAACUCUAUUAUUAAAAGUAAUCAUGACCUGAAUGAUUGUUUAAAAGAACUAUAUAUGAUCUGAAUGAUCGUUUAUCAUAAUAAUCACGAUCGUUUACUGUGGUCAACACGAUCGUUAGAUUUAGUUUUUAAAUAUCAUUUAUAUUGGAGUACACGAUCGUUUACCAUAAUCAACACUAAUUAACACUAAUUAACACGAUCGUUCACCAUGGUCAACACGAUCAUUAGAUUUAAGGUUUUUAAAUAUCAUUUAUAUUGGAGUAUACGAUCGCUAACUAUAAUCAACAUGAUCAUGUUCCAUGAUAACACAAUCGUUUGUCAUGGUCAACAUGAUUAUUUUAAUUUGACGUUUUCUUUCCUCUAUUAAAAAAGAAUUACACAAUCGUUUGUCAUUCGUUGAGACGGUAAGACACGAUCGUUUAGAAGAAAAUUACUCGCACGCGACUGUGGUCGAUUAAUUGUGUCUUGACUAAGAUAUUUUUUAUAUUUUCUAUCGUAGGCCUUGGAGUUUUCCAUUUUCAAAAUUGUUCAGUAUAGUGUAAAUAUGUUAUUGUAAAUAUGUUAUUGAUUUGUUAUAAUUUUUUUAAAAACCCUUAUAUAUGUGUGUAUGUGUGUGUGUAUAUAUAUAUAUAUAGACUAUUCAAAUGUGAUAUAAUAUAUUGUUCAAAUGUGUAUAGAUAUAUAUAUACUGUUCAAAUGUGAUAUAAACUAAUAUUGCAAAAAUUAAAGCUCUUAGCUUGAGCUGAACGCACCAAAUUAUAAUAUAGUAAAAGGAGGUUGAGAAACCGAGUAUCUCUCCUGAAUACAAAGUGGAUGAAGUAAUUUUUAAAUAAAUAGAAACGAAAAACAUUUAAAUGACAACCAAAUUUCAUAGAAUAAAAAGAUUUAAUUCGUUUUUGCAGGAGAAGGGCAAAGUUUCUUUUCUUCAAAAAGAGGUAAUGUUGACUUAAUCUUCUAUUAUUUUUAGCUUAAUUAAUAUUUCCAACGAUGGAAUAUAUCUGACAAAAUAACAAAAUUAAACCCUUAAAAGAUAGCACUAGCCAUAAUACCAAUUUGAGAUGUCUAUCUACUGACUUAUUAUUAACUCAUAAUGGGUAAGGCGGUAUAUUAAAACGUAAUAUUGAGCUUUUAAUUUAUAUAGAAAGUAUAGGUUGGUUUUCCCUUUAUUUUUAGUUGGGAUCAGAAUAUUGUAUAUUAGAUUAAACUAAAGAGACAUAACAAUACUUAAUUCUUGUAGAAGAGUCCAAACUCAAGUAAGUAGGGUUUCUAUUUAGAGCAGUCAGCCUCAGUUGGUAAGCUAAUGUUGCAGGAUUUAGCAAUUCUUCUAGCCGCACUAGAAUUCACGAAACUCCUCAAAUCUGGAUCAUUGAUAUAUUCACAGUAGCAUGGUUGUGCCUCCCUCAACUUGUUGCAACAUGUCUGACUGGGCGUCAUCCCAAAAAAUGCUGCUGUGCAUGACGAGAGCUGUGAUGGGUCGCAUUCCACUUGAGCAACCACCGGAGGAGCGCCAUUAAGAAGAGCCACCGUGGUUGCCACCACGAAAAUGCAAACAACGAUUGUGAUAGGAAAAUUCUUCAUUUGAUUGUGUUACGAGGAAGGGAGGAAUAACGAAUUUGUGUGUUUCUGUGCUUUUGCUGAUGCUUUCAACCUCUCCUUUUAUAGCCUCUCAUAGGGAGUAAAUGUGUGCAACAAGUUAAGUUACCACACCUCCUAUUCAAUACUUUAAGUUACCACAAACUCUUCCGCACGAGUUAAACAAGUGAAUUAGUUGUCAUAAAAUUUCGCUUACUAGAUGCCCAACGCAUUAUGACAUGGUUAGAUAGACAUUGAUCAAUGUCUAGGUGGUCACACCUUCACUUAAUCACAUGACGAGACCUGAGAAUGGGGUCUGGGUGAUUGAAACAUCAAUGAUGUACAAAUAGUGUCAUUGGUGAUCAAAAUCUCUCGAUGAUUGUAAAAGAAAGAGAGAUGACAAUCAACUAGGAACAACACGUUAAAAACUCUCUAGAUGGAAGAUAUCUGAGAAUCGAGUAAUCGUCGUGUGAAGAUUUAAAUAUGUUAAAAGGUAUUUUUGAAAAUUUCAAAAAGUGAAAAUUACGUGUCCUAAGCUUCGUUUUUUUGACAUAUAACGUAAAUACUUUCAAUUUUUUUAUUUAUGUAAAAUUCCCCUUGUAAAAUAUAUAUUGUUAAUUCACAAAUAUAUUAAAGUGGUUGAUACAUGAUAGAUACCUCUCAAUAAUGAUAAUCCUACAAACUGUUUAUCAAUCAAUAUAUGCAAAAACAAUUUCGUGUAUUAACAGUAAUGGACUAUUAAAAUGGUCUAUCAGAAACGUUUGAUAGAUAAAAAGAAAAAUCCUAAAAAUAACAUAGUUACAAAUUAUUAAAUUUUUUGAUUGAUAUAGUUUACAAAUGUGGCAACGAAUUUUGUUACCUAACACUUAUGAUUAAAAAACAUAAAAUUAGCAAACAAAAUGGUGACAAUUUACUUGUUUGACUUUAUCAUGCAUUUAAUUAUGUUAAUUAACAUUCAUUUAUCUGUGUUUCGAUGAUGAUAAUUGAACAUUGAUUAAAUUUUGAUUAGUGUUUAAAGUUUUAGGCAUUAAUUAAAUUUUGAUUAAUUGGCAAAAACAGUACAAAUUUGAUAAUGAGACCAAUUUUGAAAAGAAGAGUCUUGGGACAAAUGGAUAUGUGAAAUAUCUAAAUUAUCCUUUAGUUUAAAAAAGCUCUAAAAUUUUGAAACCCACAAUUUCUUCCUCACACAACACAUCCAUCUGUAGAUGAACAAAUUGCAACCAAUGAAUGGAGGGAAUCGAUCAGAUGGAGUGGCGGUGACUUGGGUAGCAACAACCGAUAUCCAUUUGGAUGACUUGGACAACAACAACAAUUUCCCUAAAGCUAAAGUCUGGGUUUUAUGGAUUGUGCAUCAACGAUUUCUACAUCUUUCUUUAUUGCCAACUUUGUGGCCUCGUCCUCCUCCCAUUCCGCUUUCUUGCAUUUCCUAUUCAUUUCUCUCUCCUUCAUGUAAAAUACCAAUGAAUUGUAUUGAAUUUGGUUGCUAUUUUCAUUGAUCAAAAUGAAUAUUUAUACAAUGCUUGAAGAUACAAAUAUGGUAAAAAAUAAUUACAAAUCAAUUUACAACAAAUAGAGGGAUUAUAGGAGUAGAUUUUGUAAUAUGAUAUUAUUUCCUAAUAUCCCACCUCAAACCAAAGAUUCAGAGGGAGUUAGUAGUUAUUUCAAAGGUGAAGAAAUAUGAGAGACAGAAGUAGCUUUUGUGAGUAUAUCAACAAGUUGUUUGUUGGAGGAGAUGCGUCGAACAGAGAUGUCUUUACGAAGAACUUUUUCCCGAACAAAAUGGGAAUCAAUCUCAAUGUGUUUGGUUGACAAAAAUGCCAUUAGUGGAGAAUUGUAUUUCGAGACCAAGAAAAUACUUUAAAGAACCAAGAUCAGAUAUUUUAAAUUCAAGUGCCAAUUGGUUUUUAGAAGAGAAAUAUAAGAGGAGUCUGGGCCAGUGCCAAUAGUAUCAUCAAAACAUACAUGAGUAAGUAAGUAAGAGAAGAUCCAACAUGUCAAAUGAAUAAAGAUGGAUCAACCAGCUGUCCUAAAACAUAUAACAUUUGUCACUCACAGCCCCACAACCAAUCCUCUCAAUUAAGACACUUUGAAUUCAAAUUCUUCCCUUUCAAUUCAUGAUUCAUCUAUACAUAUAAAUAUAAGGGGAAAUUUUUUAAUUUACCUCUUCCUUUUAUAUAUUUUAUUUAUUUAAAUCUAAAUUAAUAAUAUAUGAUUUUAAUCUUUAACUUCUGUAAAAAUUUCAAUUGACACUACUUUUAAGAUUUGAAUUUUGAUCAAAGUUGCAUGAAACAUAUAAUUGUUUAUGUUAAUCUUAAAUUAUAAUAACAGAAAUUAUUUAUAUCCUUUAUUAAGAUUAAAUAAAUUAUCCAUGUGUUUAAAUCUUCCACUCUCGAAAUAGAAUUUAAAUGUUAAAUUUAUCAAAUAAAUAAGUAGGAGUUCAUGUAUGGAUUUUGUUAAACAAAGUAAUAGAAUAUCUAAAUUGAUUUGUUUAUAAAGAUGUCUAGAAACGUUUAAUUGAUGCGAAGAAGGGCACCAUACUAAAAGUAUUUAGAAAAAUAUUAGUAAAAUAUCACAUCGAGUGAUAUACUAUUAAUAAUAGUAUAAUGUAAUCUAUACAAAAGUUUUUUUUUUUUUUUUGUUUAUUUUAGUAUAUUUAAAAACAAACUGCAUUCGUAAUAUGGUUAUGAUACAAUCUAUAAUUCAAAUUUUAAGGGUUCUUUUUAUAUAAACUAUUUGAAUAUGAAUAUGGUUAUGAUACAAUCUAUAAUUCAAAUUUUAAGGAUUCUUGUUUUAAGGGUUCUUUUUAUAUAAACUAUUUACCUUUCAAAGAACCUAUACCUAUUUAUACUUUAUACAACAAAAUUACAAAAUAUCUUUCCAAAUUUUUAAAAUCUACUUUGAUUAAAUUUAAAUUCAUAAAAACUAACCAAAACUAAUUCAUAAAAACUAACCAAAACUAACAAACCAGGUUAAUAGAACUAAAGUAAAUCCACUCUUUACAUAUCUUAAUCAACAACGUUUAGUUCCAACUCUUUACAUAUCUUAAUCAACAACGAGAAGACUUACUUAUUUUUGUAUAUCUUUAUAUGGAGUUUUGUAAAAAUAGCAAAAAUGUAUGAUAAUAGAAAUCAUGUCAUAAGAUUUUUUAAAUUUACAAAAUUAUAAGAUUUUUUAAAUUUACAAAAUUUGCAAAUUAAUUUACAAAAUUAUAAAAUUUUUAAAUUUACAAAAUUUGCAAAUUAAUUUAGAAGGGAUGACUGUCUACUGUCAUACAAUUACUGUCUACUGUCAUACAAUUACUGUCUAUUAGUCCUGCAACAACUCCACAACAACUCUAGAUUACCGAUGAUUAUCGUUUAAUAGUAGUCUGAUAUCAUUAACUUUGUCAUAUUUGAAGUAUGCAAAAAAAAUAGUGUUGUCAAACUUAUUUGGAAAUAUUUUUGCAAUUUUCUUUUUAUAAAAGACAGCAUGAAAAAAUCUAGUAAGUUUUAAUAAAAAGCAAAAAUCUUCCCCUAACAAAUUUUUUUUUUUUUGUUGAAAAACUAUGUAAGUUGGAGAGAUAAAGAUAUUUGCAACCUAAUCAUCACCAAGAUAUUGUUCAAUUUUACUUUACAGCAACCUAAAAAAGAGAAAAAAGGUGAAACAUUUAACAAAGAAAACACCAAUCUAAAAAUAUCUUUAUAGAAACAUACCAUACCUAUUAUUUUAAUUCAUUAAAAGAAAAAGAAAAGAGAUAUAUGAUCAACAUGAACCUACUUUAAUAACUUAAUUAAAAAAAAAAAAGAAACACAUAGAUCGUUUUUUUCUUUUAUUGUUUUAUUCAUAGGAAUAACUAUAAAAUUAUUCCAGCUUAAUUUCCACACAUAUGGCCCAAAAGAAAGACCCUCUAACACCUUGGAGUGGGAACACCACAUUUGGAAGCAACAUGUUUGGCGCGAGGAGAAUUCAAAUAACUACUCAAAGCUGGGUUCUUUAUGUACCCGCAAAGACAUGGUUGCUGCUCUCUCAAUUUGUUGCAGCAAGUGGCGGAUGGGUCUGCCAUCGACGUGAUUGCCGUGAGACAUGAGCUCAGCUCCGAAGGGCUGCAACUCACCGCCUCUGCAACACGAACUCCGCCAAGAACGGCCAGCACGAAAAACAAACAACUGUGACUGGAAGAACUUUGUUCAUUGUCUCUUGGUUUUGAUAGAAAUCAGUAAUGUUUGUUGAAGGGAAAGGGAAAAGGAAAAGGAGAAAGAGGAAUAAUAUGGCUUUAAUUGUCUGUUUUUCCCCCCAACUCUUUUUUGUUUGUAUUUAUAGCCACAUAAAGUUGGAAGAGUUGAUAAAAGGGCCAACCCUAUUAUUAAUUUCUCAUUUCCAAUUUCACCUACUUUUCUCUUUGAUUUUAAUUGCUUCCAACAUCCUUUUCCAUAAAGUUAAUAUUGUGAUGAUAACAAUUAACAAAUAUUGUUGGCAUUGAUUUAAAUGUUGGGUUGCUCUACACGUUUGAUCUAUUCUAGAGCACAAAAAUUACCACAAUUAUUUUAACAUUUUUUGAAUUAUCCUAAAUCAUAAAAGGAAUUAGAGACGAAUAUAUUUUGCUUGUUUUUAUUUCUUUUUACAAUGGUUUGGUAUAAAUAUGCAAUACAAGAUAAUAUUAAAUAUGAAAAGAUUGGGAUAUAAUCAAAUAUACAAUUUGGGCAAAAAUAAAGGGCAGAAAUUGAGGAGUAGAUUAUGAAGAGGAUUGUGAUUUUGGAAAAUAUCCUCUAAUAUCCUCCCUCAGAUUGAUGACUCAAAAUGAGUCAAUAGUUUGUCUCGGAGUUGUAGAAGUGUUGUAGAUGAGAGUGACUUUGUUUGUAGAUCAACAAGUUGAUCGUUGGAAGAGAUAAUGUAACGAAUGAAGAUGUCUUUGCGAAGUACCUUCUCUUGAAAAAAGUGGUAAUCAAUUUCAAUAUGUUCGGUACGAGCAUGAAACACGAGAUUAUGAACCUGAGAUAUAGCUAAAACAUUAUCACACCAUAAGGUUGUUGAAGAUUUAAAGUGGAACAUGAAGAUCACAUAGAACUUGUCGGUUCCAGUAAAGAUCUGCAGUGGUAGUGGCGAGUGAGCAAGUUUUUGCUUAUGUGGAAGAACGAUAGACUGUAGGUUGCUUUCUAAAAGACCAAUAGAUAGGAUUAGAACCAAGAAAGACAAUGAAUCCAGAGGUGGAAUGUCGAUCAGAAGUGUCGCUAGCACAAUCAGAGUCAUUAAAAGGUUUAUAGAUAUAAUUAAUGAACCCAUGCAAAAUUUUAUCCCAAGGGUUGAGUACCACAUAGAUAUCGUAGGAUGCAUUUGAUUGCAGAGAAGUGAAUAACAGUGGGUUUGUGCAUCAAUUGACUAACACAAUUUAUAGAGAAUGAAAUAUCAUGGUGAGUAAAGUAAGGUAUUUUAAUGAAAGGAGUUAGAUGAUGGAUCAUUAAAUGACAAAACUGUUGAAAUUUAUGUCAUAAAACUCGUAGUUUGUAGUUUAAAAGUAUAUUUUAUUCAAUAAAGUGGUUAUUGAGGAUUAUUAAUAGAAUACUAUAAUCUUGAAUCUAAAUAAACUAAGGUCCUUAUGCUACCUAGUGUAGACUUGAAUUUACAUAAAUGUGGAUCAAGUUCAAGUAUAUAGCCCAAAUGGUCUAUAGUGUAUGAAUAAGCCUUAUUCUUGUUGUAGUUAGUACAAACGAUAUGAUCCUGAAUCGUUCAUGUAGAGACCAUGGAAGUUGGAGUAUCCUAUGUACAAAGUUUGCAUAAGACUGAAAUCAUAAAAUAAUCACUUUUAAGUUAUAACACCAUUGAUUGUACAAAACUGACUAUUUUGUUUAUUGAUGACCCAUGUAACUUAAUCUUAAUCCUAAGUUAACUAUGAACUUUGUUCACACAAAUUAUCCUUAGAUCUGCAUAGGUGAGUGUAGCUCAACGACACUGACACAAUAAGCCUCCCAUUUUAGGAGUAAGAUUGGGUGGAUGGCUAGGUGUAACGAUCCAAACUUUUCAAACUAAACUGAGGUAGUUCUUUAAUACAAAUGCACUUCUUUUAAACAUGAGUGUUUAUAAAAUAUGUUAAAAUCAAUAAACAUCAAAUAAAUCUUUAUUCAGGCCCUAUUUCAAACAAAAUUAAAGGUUCGAAAUUAUUGUUUAUAAAAUCAAGAAAUAAACUGUUGUGCUAAACAUGAAAUUCGUUUCAGUCACAACUACUAAAGUAAAACAAAAGAAAACUGUAAGCGGAAGCUAUUUUAAAGAAAAUCCUCCUAUGGCGAUCACGUCUCCUUCUUAUUCCUCGUUGGUCGGUCUCUUAUAUUACUUUUGCCUGGAAAGUUAAACAUAAAAGGGUGAGUAUAAACAUACCCAGCAAGAGACCACUACUGGUCCCACUAGGGUAAAAUUAUUAACUUUCUAUUGGAGGUACCAUGUAUCAUAACAGUCUUGUGAUCCCGUAGGAUGCACAUAAUUAAUCUAAUGCUCAUAAAAGAUGCACAUAUCAGUCUAGUGCUCCCGAAGGAUGCACCUAUCAGUCUAGUGUUCCAAAUGAUGCACAACAGGUGGUGAUCCCGUGGGGCACCUGCAAGACACACUACCCUACAGAUAAAGCUAACAGAUUUCCCUCAGUCCAUACUAACAUUUAAAACAGUCAACUCAACUUAGAAUAUAAACUACCAUUAUAUCCUUCUUUCAGCUCAACACAUAUACAGUUAAUUUACCCAAACCAAUACAUAAUCAAACAUCAGCAGAACAGUCCUCAAAUAAUUAAAUUUAUACAUAAGCGUCACUCACCUUAGUUCAGUCAAUUCAAUCUAGUUUGUCAAUUCAACCUACAUUACACUACCUAUGCCUUAACAUAACCGUCAACAACCCACAAUCUAAUCAAUUCGAUAUCCUCAGUUCAGUCAUCAAUAUAUUUUACAUAUCGGUCAACUCAUCUCAGUUCAAUAAAAUUUAUAUAAUAAACAGUCAUCAAAUAUAAAUUUGCUUAUCAGUUAGUCCAUCUAAGUUUAGUGGAAUCCAUAUAGUCAAUACAUCUUAAUUUCAUCAUUGAGUCCAGUAGUAGGAACCCUUACCUUAACUUCAUUUAUUCCACUAAAGUUCAACAAAAACAACCUAAACAUAAGUAAACAGAAAUCAAUGACUUCUAGAAACAAUUUCAUCUAUUCAAUUCAUCCUAUAUAUAUAAUUUCCACAACUUACCCAAAACGUGGAGAAUUGGAGUCCAACCCCACUCACUUGAAACUCAAGGAAUUUAAGUGUUGUCCACAAUUUGCACCUUCAAGAAACAAUAUCAAUCAAUUUACUAACCCAACCAAUAUUGGUUAUUGAAAACAAUCACCAAAACCCAAAACUACACCCUUACCACAAACCACGACAAGGUAGAAACAACGGCUUUCGAAACCAACACAAAAGAGAUUGUGCAAAAUAGAUAUGCGUGUGGGUUGGCUUGCAACUCGUAAACGGACAACAGAUGUAGACGAAGGCAGAUUGAUUCGAAUCUUCAACAGCAGCUACGCGCAACGGAGAAUUCCACUACAUCUAGCCCUACUUCGUUUUCGAACAUAUUCUUAUGUGAAAUUUAUUGUUUCAAUUCUUUAUUGCUUUGGUUUAACACCGCUUUGGAUUCUUUGCAGCAAAAGGUGGUAAAAACUACUUUAGAAGCGUCCCAAGCAGUUUGGAAUCAGUGGAGCAUUGCCGUCCAAGAGGGAUCUCACUCACUUUGUCAAAUGGCCCAAAGUUGUUUAAAUUUAGAGAAAAAAUAGAAUUUUGAAGCAGAGGCUAAAAAUUCCACCAACAUUGAAUCUGUUCUAUUUGACUUUCUUUUUUCUCUUUUUUUCUUGUUGUCAUCAUCAAAAUUUUCAACCAUACGUAUAAAGACGGAGAUAUUUUAUGUGGACAACUAUACGGCCGUCCGAACUACUUUUAACUUAUGUGGCUGGAUCUAAAACUUAGAAGAUUGUCCAAGUUUUCUGUUGAACAAUGCAUGUACCAGAUUUUGUGCAUUCCCAACAUGAUACAUUCUUAUGUUAUGUUGGGAAAGGGGUUCUCUGUUUAUAAUCACAAUCACUUUAGCCCUUAUUUGGGGGUCAAGGUUGCCUUUCACUUCUCCUCCCUCAUUUUGUAUAAGCAAGUAUUUCUUUGUCUAAAAGGGUUCAAACUCUCCUACUAUUAUAAUCAUUCAACAUUCUCUGUAAUGAUCAAUUCUUUAUUCCUCUUAGAUUUAUUAGGUUUUACUUUUAAUUGCUGCAUAUAGUUCUCUUACCUUCGUAUAGACAAAAAGGUGUUUCUGAGAGGUUUUUCUUUGAUAAGUUAAACGCUUGUAUUUUGUUGGAUUUGGCCUAUGGUUUGAAAAUCUCAAAUCAAUUGAACGCAUUGUCUUGUUUACACAUUUGAAUUGAAACUUUCCUAUACCUAUAUUAUACAUAUUCUUUCUAUUCUUUCCCAAAAUGUGUUAUACGACUUAUCUAUUCUACAUAAUUUCACGCAUGGCUAGCACGAUGUUCCCGUUUUCAAGGGAUGCCAAAAUUACUUUUCACUCAUUCUCGUAACUCCAUUGACGGAUAUAUUUCCUAAACCGGAUCUGCCUGCUCAUGCAUUUCCUAAUCAUGUGAUAAUGUUGAAUCUUCCUUUAUUAUAUAUAUAUAUUAUUGAUGUAAUUAAGAAUUGUUAUUUAAUAGUAAUUAAGAAGUUGUUCUUUAAUAGAAAUAUGUACGUUCGUGAAAAUGUUCAUAUAUAUAUAAAUGGGUUCAAAAUUUGAGGUUACAAAAAAUAAAAUGAAAUAAAUAAUAUAAGGUAUUUUUUUUAAAAAAAAAUCAAACCCGCGAUGCCAUAUGUAAGCGUCGAGACUUGUAUAUAAGAUCUCCCGACGACUAAAGAUGCGAACUCCCAACAUCGUAUACAGUAUCUUCCCGACGCUGCAUUUCUUAGUGUCGUAAAGGUUUCUUUUGAUACAUUUUAUCAGAGCACAGUUUUGACAGACAUUUUUUGGGAGAUCCUUUUACAACUCUUUUUUCGUAUAUCUCCCAACGAUUGUGUGCGUUGGAAGACCCCUCAUUUUUUGUAGUGAAUUUGUAACUCGAAUACUCUUAAUAAAAUUUCUCAAAACUGGUUCUCAAUGUGGAUGUAGACCAAAUUAGUCAAACCACUUAUAUCCUUGUGUUUUUAUUCUCUUAUGCUUUGUGUAUUUUAUGGCUAUUGCAUUAUGCUUGGGUUGUGUUAUUAAUUAAUUUAGUCCAUUAAUUAAUACAAAUAAUCAUGUCAGUUUUUAUUCAAGAGUUGAUUGGGCUGCACUAUAUACGAUCCAAAUGAAAAAGUUAAUUCCACGUCUUUUACUUCUCUAGAUAUAUUUCACAUUCUUUUAUAGUAAUGCCAUUACAUAUUUGUAUAAUGAUAAAAAUUGAAGCAUAUAGAACAAAGAAAAUACCAGAUCACUUUCCUUUUUAUUGAUAGUCGUUUGAUAUUGUAGUAUAUAUAUAUAUAUAUAUAUAUAUAUAUAAGAAAAGUCCAUUACAAAGCAUGACCUCUAGCAUUUGGGAUAGGGAACACCACAGGAGGAAAUAAUAGCUUUUGCUCGAGCAGAUUUCACGUAACCUCCCAAGCUUGGAUUCUUCAUAUACUGACAAAAGCAUGGCUGUUGCUCCCUCAGCUUACUGCAACAAGUGGUGGACGGUGGCCGUCGAUGUCAUUGCACCAAUGCAUGGACUCAGCCCCAUGGUGUUGCAAGUUAUCGCGUCGGCAACACGAGCUCCAGUUAUGAGGGCCGCCAUUGCCACCACCAAAGGGGAAGACUUGUGAACCCAAGAUUUUUCAUUAUUUUUCUUCUUUUGAUAUAGAAAUGAGGGAUAGGUUUCUAUUUGCCGCACCUUCAAAACAACUUUUUAUAGCCUCAUAAAGUGGAAUGUGUCACUUCUAUACCAACUUCUCUGUUUUGGCUUAAACUUUUCAAUAAAAUUAAUUUCGAGUUGUUAACUUUCAAUAAAAUUAAUUUCGAGUUGUUAACUUUAUGAUGGUAACAUCUAUAGUUUGCAUUAAAUAUAUGGUUGGUGGUGGUAAUAGUGACAAACUCCCAACUUUGUAACAGUGACCAAAAGUUCAUAUAAAAAUUAUUUUAAAUACAAAUAAGUACACAAUUAUUUUUUGGAGUUGUAAAAAUAACAAAAAUAUAUAUAAUAUAUAUAUAUAUAUAAUAAAAUCUUAAAUGGUAAAAAUAACAAAUUUAAAACAGUAACUCUAAUAACUCUAAUAACUCUCUCAUGACUUUUGAUAGAUUUUUUUAUUGUCGAUAUCAUUAAUUACAAAAAAACUUUUUCUAAAUUCUUUUGUCAUCUAAUAUAAUUUUUUAUUUUUCUAACUAGAAAAUAUUAAAGCUUUUCACCAAUAUUUGAAGUUAGGAGGUUGGAAACUUUUACCUUGAUUAGUAGCAUAUGCCUUACAUACUGUUUGCAACAUUUUCUAUAUUUUCUUCUAAUAUUAUCAACUAACAACAAUUCUAAUCGAAGUCGGUAUGUACAAGAAUUUGUUUUACAUUAUUGUUUAAAUACCUGACAUUUGGUUUUUUAAUAUUUCAUAAUUCCAGAAUUCUAUGUUGAAUUUGUGCUCCUUAUUCACCAAUCUUUGAUCUAAAUACAUGAAUCUUAGGAUUACACGAAUCGAGAGUCCUAUUUGUGGAUCUAAAUGUAUGUAUUUUCUUGGUUGCAUUGCAUUAAUUUUGGCCUUUAUGUUCUUCGUUUGCAUUUUAAUUAAUUGCUUUGCCGGUUGAGUUCACCAUGAACAGGAUUAAUAGGGUCGUAACACAACGGAAUUUUUAGAGAAUCUGAAUGAAUGAGUAGAGAAUGUGGUAAUAUUUAAGGUUAUGGUUGAUGCAGAGUAUUGGAGAACAGUCGACCUCUAGAGGGCCAACAUCCAAUGAGCCUGCAGCAAGAAAAGGAGAUUUCUUUAGCUGGGUGAACAAUUUCUGUUUCCGACGUAACAAAAAUGUCAAUAAAGAUGAUUUAUGUUGAUGGAUUUUCUAUGCAAAGGUAUAACACCAUGUUUCGCUAAGAAAAAUAUAUCCUUGGAGAGAGUUGAUUGAUGUUAGUGAAACCCAUGAAGUUUGGGUUUCUGCCGACACAAGUUUUAAUUUCUGCUUAUGCAAUUUGUGUGUAGAUUAUUUCAAAAAUAACAUGUUACCAACUGAAAACUACGCAAAGUUUAAUUCAUUUUAAUUAAAUAAAGAAAUAAAAUCAAUAAAACAAUCUAAACAGAAACCAAAAUGUUUAGUAAAAUAUAAUAACCAAUCACCAAAAAAGUAAUUUAUUUGGACCAAUCAUGAGUUUAGGAUAAAUCUAUCAAUAGACAUGUGGCUCUAAAACAUGAAAACAAAAAUAAAGUAGCGAAAGCAUUGUCACAAUAGUUCCAAAUGGCACAAUCACAAUCGUAGAUCCUUCUUACCGGCCUUGUCUUUGUUUGAAAAAUUGAAAAAUACCCAGUAAGAGAUCAGUCUAGUAGUUCAUAGAGCACACAUCAAUAGUAAAAGUUAUCCACUUAAUGCACUACCUAUAAGUGGGGAUCCUAUAGAACACUAUACAUAUAGGGUAUAUAUUAACCUAAUAAUCAAAGUUAAUAGUUGUCAUUAGUUCAAACACAUCCUAGUUUAGUCAUUCUCAAUUCAAUUCAGUCAUAAACAUAAUAUGUAAAAUUUAUUCAAUAACCUCAUUCAUAACCAUCAUGUCUCAAGUAUCAUUGGUGAUCAAAAUCUCUCAAUGAUUGUAAAAGAAAGAGAGAUGACAAUCAACUAGGAACAACACGUUAAAAACUCUCUAGAUGGAAGAUAUCUGAGAAUCGAGUAAUCAUCGUGUGAAGAUUUAAAUAUGUUAAAAGGUAUUUUUGAAAAUUUCAAAAAGUGAAAAUCACGUGUCCUAAGCUUCGUUUUUUUGACAUAUAACGUAAAUACUUUCAAUUUUUUUAUUUAUGUAAAAUUCCCCUUGUAAAUAUAUAUUGUUAAUUCACAAAUAUAUUAAAGUGGUUGAUACAUGAUAGAUAUCUCAUCAAUAAUGAUAAUCCUACAAACUGUUUAUCAAUCAAUAUAUGCAAAAACAAUUUCGUGUAUUAUCAGUAAUGGACUAUUAAAAUGGUCUAUCAGAAACGUUUGAUAGAUAAAAAGAAAAAUCCUAAAAUAACAUAGUUACAAAUUAUUAAAUUUUUUUGAUAUAGUUUACAAAUGUGGCAACGAAUUUGUUACUAACACUUAUGAUUAAAAAACAUAAAAUUAGCAAACAAAAUGGUGACAAUUUACUUGUUUGACUUUAUCAUGCAUUUAAUUAUGUUAAUUAACAUUCAUUUAUCUGUGUUUUUGAUUGAUUGAUUAAAUUUUGAUUAGUGUUUAAAGUUUUAGGCAUUAAUUAAAUUUUGAUUAAUUGGCAAAAACAGUACAAAUUUGAUAAUGAGACCAAAUUUUGAAAAGAAGAGUCUUGGGACAAAUGGAUAUGUGAAAUAUCUAAAUUAUCCUUUAGUUUAAAAAAGCUCUAAAAUUUUGAAACCCACAAACACACACAUCCAUCUGUAGAUGAAACCAAAUGAAUGGAGGGAAUCGAUCAGAUGGAGUGGCGGUGACUUGGGUAGCAACAACCGAUAUCCAUUUGGAUGACUUGGACAACAACAACAAUUUCCCUAAAGCUAAAGUCUGGGUUUUAUGGAUUGUGCAUCAACGAUUUCUACAUCUUUCUUUAUUGCCAACUUUGUGGCCUCGUCCUCCUCCCAUUCCGCUUUCUUGCAUUUCCUAUUCAUUUCUCUCUCCUUCAUGUAAAAUACCAAUGAAUUGUAUUGAAUUUGGUUGCUAUUUUCAUUGAUCAAAAUGAAUAUUUAUACAAUGCUUGAAGAUACAAAUAUGGUAAAAAAUAAUUACAAAUCAAUUUACAACAAAUAGAGGGAUUAUAGGAGUAGAUUUUGUAAUAUGAUAUUAUUUCCUAAUAUCCCACCUCAAACCAAAGAUUCAGAGGGAGUUAGUAGUUAUUUCAAAGGUGAAGAAAUAUGAGAGACAGAAGUAGCUUUGUGAGUAUAUCAACAAGUUGUUUGUUGGAGGAGAUGCGUCGAACAGAGAUGUCUUUACGAAGAACUUUUUCCCGAACAAAAUGGGAAUCAAUCUCAAUGUGUUUGGUUGACAAAAAUGCCAUUAGUGGAGAAUUGUAUUUCGAGACCAAGAAAAUACUUUAAAGAACCAAGAUCAGAUAUUUUAAAUUCAAGUGCCAAUUGGUUUUUUAGAAGAGAAAUAUAAGAGGAGUCUGGGCCAGUGACAAUAGUAUCAUCAAAACAUACAUGAGUAAGUAAGUAAGAGAAGAUCCAACAUGUCAAAUGAAUAAAGAUGGAUCAAUCUUUGAAGCAACAGAACCCAAAGUAAAUAAAUAAGAGGUAAAGCAUUCAACCAAGCACGAGGGGCUUGUUUGAGGCCAUAAAGGCUCUUGUGUAGAAGACACACAUGGUUUGGAAUUUUUGUCAUGAAAACAAGUAGGUUGAGAGAUAUAUACUGUUUCCUGGAGAACACCAUGAAGAGAGGCAUUUUUGAGAUCUAACUGUGUCAAUGACCAAUUUUAUUGAGCAGCUAGAGCAAGAAUAAUUCGUAUAGUAGGCCUUUUGACAACAUAACAAAAGUUUCAUCAAAAUCAAAACCUUGUACCUAGUGAUACCCUUUGGCAACUAGGCGUGCUUUGUGGCGAGCAACUGAGCCAUCAUGAUUAUAUUUGGUACAAAAGACCUGCUUACAACCAACAAUAUUCAUGGAUUGAUGGUGAGGGACUAAAGACCAAGUACCUUGUGCUUGAAGAGCAUUGAAUUCUUCACACAUUGCAUCUCUCCAUUCAUGAUACUUGGAAGUUUCAGUGUCUGAUGUUAGAGUUGGAAGAGUCGUGGUGAUCAUAUGGAAUGCCUUUGGUUUAAAAUUCCUGACUUUGCUUGAGUUUGCAUGGCAUGAGUGUUUUGAGGAGGAAUUGGAGCUGGUGCAUUGGUGGUGACAGCCUCUAUGUUAUUUCCUGUAUCAACAAUAGGUGAAACAUGCAAAGACUGACAAGAGGCAUUAGUAUCCAUAAAGGGUGAGUAAGUAAUGUGGAGUGGGAGGAUUAGGAGUAGGAGAUUGUAUGGGGAUAAAGUGUGAGGAUGUAGGAUGUGGAAGAUUGAGUAAGGUGAGUAGUAAGCUGGGAUAAAAAAGGAUUGAUUUUGUGAUGAGGAAGACACUACAAGAAAAUGGGCUCUCCCGACGCACACAAUCGUCGUGUUUUCCUAUGAUUUUUCUUGCGUCGGAAAACUCCGAUUUCUUGUAGUGAGAAGUAGUGGUUUGGGCAAAAGGGAAAAUUGUUCCAUGAAAGAUAACGUGGCGUGAAACAAUGGUUUGUUUGGUAGAUGGAUUAUAGCAAAUAUAGCCUUUAAAAUUGUGAGGAUAGGCUAAGAAAAUGUGUUGUAUGGUUUUUGGUUCAAGUUUAUGUUUGGUGUAGGGUUUAAGGAGAGGAUAAUAUGCACAUCCAAAAACUUUUAAAUGGUGCAAAUCAGGAGUAUGACCAAAAAGCAUUUCAAACGGUGAUAACAUUUUAAGUAAGGGGAGGGCAUGUGAUUAAUAAGGAAAAUUGCAGUAGAAAAGGCAUAAGGCCAAAAUUAAAGGGAAAAAGAGGAAUGAAAAAUUAAAGACAUUGCAGUUUCAACAAUAUGACGAUGUUUACGUUCUAAAAUGUCGUUUUGUUCAGGUAUAUAAGGACAUGAUUUUUUAUGAUAAAUACCUUUGGAUUCGAAGACGGAUUGUAAGGAAUUGUUGCAGAAUUCACUACCACCAUCUAAUCUAAAAACUUUUAAUUUUUGAGAUAUUUGAUUUUUAAUGAAGGGAAUAAAUUUUUAAAUAAUAGAUGGAACAUUUGAUUUAUAAGCAAUAGGAAAGAGCCAAGUCAAUUUGCUAAAAUUGUCAAUGAAACUAACAUAAUAUCGAUUUCCAUUGGAAGAAAUAAUUGGUGAAGGACCCCAUACAUCGCUAUGAACAAGUUCAGGUGGUGUAAGAGAAGUGGACAAAGACAUAGGAAAAGGUAAUUUUGUUAUUUUUGCUUUUAAACAACCAAUACAAUUGUAAGUUGAAAGAGAAGAAGAUAUAGAUAGACCAAAGCGAGAUAAAAUUGAACUUAGAAUCCUUGGAGCAAGAUGACCCAAAUGAAAAUGCCAUAAUGAUGAAUUCUCCUAAUUUGCAUGAAAAUUUAAAAUUUUGAAAUGCAUAGUAUAUGUGGAUAGAUGAGAAGUACUGGGAAUAAGGUAGAGAUCAUUGAUGCUUUCACCAGUAUACAAAGUUCGGCCGGUGACUUUAUCCUAAAUGAGAAACCAGUCAGUAUCAACAAUAAAAAUGCACUUAUUAUCAAGGCAAAAUUCAUGAACAGAUAAGAGAUUUGCAACAAGUUGCGAAGCAUGAAGUAUAUUUGAAAGAUUAAAGGUAUGAGAGGGAGUUGAGAGUUUACCACUAUCAAUAUUUCGAAUGUUUAAAGGUUGACCAUUUUCCACUAUGAUAGUUUCCUCACCAUUAUAAUGAUUGGAUAAGAUGAGAUUUGUCAACUCAUUUAUCAUAUGAACGUUACAUCCACUGUCAGAUAACCAAAAAUUAUUAGAAUUUUCAGCAGAAGAUUGAAAAUGCAGAGUUUACCGCCAUUGUUGCUAAUUGAGAGAGUGGAUGUUUUCCUUGAUAAGAGAAAUUCAUACCGUUGUAGCAAUCGAGGUGUCAUGUCCGAAUUUUUUACAAAUUUGACAGAAUAUGCGUCCAAUGAUUAGAAUUGGUUUCAGGCCCAAAAAUGGGCCCAUGAGUGGGGAAAGCGUCCAAUGAGCCCACAGUGAGAAGAGAAAUUGAAUGAUGGACGGUUUGGGCUGAUGAAGAAUUGGGUCGAUUUAAGAUGUUGGGCUGAUGAAAAAUGUUCCUCCAUGCGACCCAUGUUCACGAUAAUUUGUCUGGUUUUGAGAACUAAAAUGAGGGUUACAGUGUCGUCUUCCUCGUCUGCGGCUACCCUUGGAUGAAGGAUGGAAAUUUUGUGCGGCUUCCAUGGUGGUAGGAAUGGCUUCGAUGGCGGACGAUUUUGCUAUGGUGAAUUCUUCAGAGAUGAGAAGGGUGUGAAGUUCUUCAAGGGAGAUGGUACCACUUCGAGUUUGGAUUGACGUGCGAAAGGUGUUGAAGGUUGCAAGAAGUCCAUUUAAGGUAUGAACUAAAACCUAUUCAUCUUCUAGAGCGACAAAGGCGGCAGCAAGCUUCUCGACAAGGACUUUGAUUCGAAAAGUAUAUUGCUCAAUUGUUUUCAGAUGGAGUUUUCUUUAUGGUGUAAAGGGCAGAUCGAAGAUCAAGAAUAUUGGAUCUGGUGUUGCAGGAGUACCUCUUUUCUAGAGAGAACCACAAUGCUUUUGAUGAGGUUGUGCCGACUACAUGAGCAAGAGCCGAAGGGGAUAAGGUUGCGUUGAUGAGGGUGAUAAAAGCUUGGUCACAAAAGAGCCAACGAAGAUGCUCAAGAUUUAUUUCAAGGAUGGUUCCAGCAGAUGUUGAAGGUAAAAAUUUGGGAGGGCAGGGAAGAGAAUUGUCAAUGUGACUGUUCACAAGAGAUUUUCGGAGAAAUUUAAUUUGUGGACUUGAACUUGAGUGUUCAUGUUGUAUCUUUGUUGAUUUGAUGCGAUGGGUUCAAUCUCUAGAAUUUGAUCAUCUGAUUCUCUCUCGACUGAAUGCCUACGCUUGAUUUGGAGGAAGCGGAGCACAUGACAUUCUUGACGUUUGUUGAACGUCUACGCUUGAUUUGGAAAAGCGGAACACGUAAUGUGGAAAAGCGGAACACGUAAUGUUCUUCAAGUUGGUUGAAUGCUUACGCUUGAUUUGAGGAAGCGGAACACGUGAUGUUCUUGAAGUUGAAGUCUUGGAAGAAAGUUUGUAUCUUCAAAUGAGCUUCAAUCUUCGAGGGUCGACUUCAGGAGUUAGGGAAUUUUCUAGUUUUUGGGAGAAUUCUCUCUAGACCUUUUGGAGUAAAAAAUUUCCAACAUCUAAAAUGAUGAAAAUUUCUCUAUUUAUAGAGUUCACUGGUGGGCUUUAUGGGCUUGAACCUGAUUGGUCCAUGGACCAGACCCAUGGGCCCAACCAUAUGGAUUUAGGUUAUAUUUAAUCUUUUGCUUAUUUUUGGGCUUAAUUGAACCAAAAUGAUUAACUUAAUCCAAUGAUUAAGAUAAAAACAUGUGACAUUAUUAGAAUGGUCAAUUUAUGUUUUUCAAUUCUUUAAUUUGGGACACAUGUGAAUUUUAAUUAGUCCCAAAUUUAAUUAUUUGUACUUUUCAUGAUUAACUUAAUAAAUCAUGUGGCAAUUUGUGAUUGGUCUUAAAAUUUUUAUUCAAGAGUGACCAAGCAGAGAAUGUGCUUUGAGGAAUUGAGGAGACUUGGUAUUUCCAGAUAGCGUAGUUUGUGAAGUCUAAUCGAAGGUGUACAAGAUUGCACAUAUUUUAUAGUAAGAAGAGAGUUGAGGUAGGAAUAGGUUAAUUUUCUAGUGAUGAUUCUGUGGGAAGAGGAUUGGUAGGAGUUUCUGUAGAGAUGAGAUCAGAUUGGGUGCUGGAGGUAGCCAUUGAAGAAGAAGGAGAAGAAGAAGAAAAAAAUAUUUUGAGGUAUGCUCAGAUAGCAUGUAAAAUAUCAAUGAAUUGUAUUGAAUUUGCUUGUUGUUUUAAUUGAUCAGAAUGAAUAUUUAUACAAUGUUUGAUGAUACAAAUAUGGUAAAGAAUAAUUAUAAAUCAAUUUACAAUAAAUAGUUGGAUUGUAGGAGUAGAUUUUGUAAUCUAAUAUUAUUUCCUAAUACUCCAUCCUUCAUCUUCACAAGGGUGCGAGAGAUCUUCGAGCAGGUCAGUUGAAUCAAUUGGAUUACACUUCAUUUCUUGCUGGACUCGACCAUGAUCAAUAACCCCAUGUGAUUUUUCUUUUUCAUCUGGGUGUUCCUUCUUUUUGUUUGCUUUUUUCUUUUAUGGGUUUUGUUUGUUUGGUCAUAUAUUUUACCUAUCUGUUUUAGAUUCAAUCGAAGAUUUGAUCUGAUUGGUACAUGGGACUAUCCAUUUUGUGUAUUUCUAUUAUACAUUGUUUUGUUUCAUGUUGAUCCGUUCAAUUAAUGGUGAUUUAGCAGUGUUUUGGAUUUGAUGUAUCUCAUUUGGAUGUGUUCUUAACGUGUACCGGAAGAUUGGUGUUUUAGUUGGGAGAAAAUCUAGCAAUUUGGAUAUGGUUAGUUGUUAGGCUGAGCAAACUAUUACUUCGAGAUGAUGACUUAUCAUAAUCAAACUUUUCUUAGAUCACUCUAUAAUUGCUGAUUUUCUCUUGAUAUUGUUACAAGUAAAUAGUUUCUUAGACUAUAUAUCAAAACUCUCAACAUUCUUUGCUGCUUUCAUUUUACUGUUGAAGAUUUAUUAUACACAGAAGAAUGAUGGUGGAUGGGAUUGGUAUUCGGAGGAAAUGCUGAAAAGCAUCAAUAACUUUUCAUUCAAAUUCACAAAACUUAGAUUAACCAACAAACCUACAUGAUAGGAGAAGAAAAAACAGUGAAUGUCCUAUUUGAAUUAGAAUUAAGCAUAAGUCAAUACUCAAUACUUUAGGAAAUGAAACAAACAAAUAAGUUGGAAAAAAAGAGGUGGGGAGAAAAAUAAGAAGAUUAAACUGAGCUGAAAAUGGAACAAUUUUUUUUAAAAAAAAGAUCCCAACUUCUAAUUCAAUCACAUAUUCCACCAACAUCAUCAUUUUUCUCAAUUUUUUUCUGUUCACCAUUUUUUUUUUUUUUUGCAUUCCUUCUUUAUGAAUAUUAAUGAAAACUUCUGUCGAAAAAGGAAGAAAGGAGCUUCAACAAGUAGCAACACUAAUGGACUGAAAAUUAUCCAAUUGUUCCAAGGCCCACAUAUAGUUGGUGAUUUUGUACUUGCUCAAAGAUAUUAAAUUCUAUCCUUCAACUUCAACUUUCUAUAACUAAUAUAGAAAGUACUUUGAUUCACAAUUCAUAGAGUAGAAGGACCAGAAGAAGCAAGUUAUGGGUCGUCUAGUUUCUGUAAAUUUUCCUAGUUGAUUAGCAACUGCUGCACUCAAGUAUUUUUCCAUAAAAUAGUGCAUAGUUGAAGAAGCAAAUAAGAGAUGAAGAAGCAAACCAUUAAUUUGUGAACUUUUGAGUGGUUCAUUUUAUAUGUUUUCUCCAUUGAUGAAACCCAUCAUAGUCUCAUAACCAUAUAGUAAGAUAUUUUAUUUUAUUUUAUUUUAUUUUAUUGGUAGAUUUCUCCAAACUUCCUUCCCUUUUUUAAUUCCACUUUCACAAAGGCUCCCAGAAGCUUUGAUCCUUUAUUAGAUAAGGAAGUUCUUGUGAUGGAAAGGUGAAGAUUAUUUGAGUUUUGAUGUGGAGUGUGUGGAAGAUAAAGACUCUUCAAACAUCUCCAUAAUAUAUUUGAGUAGUGUAAAUGCUUUAUUCUUCUUGUUCUUGCGUUUAUAUCUACAUAAAUUCAAAAUACAUCCAACACUAAUAUUAGUGAUAUUGUCUAUUGCUAUCCAUUAAGAUUUUGAUUAUGUUAGAUUAUCAUACAUGCGAUUCCUCCAUGCAUGGAGAAAUGUUAAUUAAGCUUACAGUAAAUUCUCUCUCAAUUUUGAUAAACAGACUGGAGAUGAAAACACAAAUUUGAAGCAUAUUGAAGCAUGGAGAGAAAAUAUCCACGCUCUCUCUUUUUUUAUAGUUUAGCUUUUAUUUAUAAGUUUAAGCUUGCGGAUACACCAUUUCAUUUGGAACAAAAGCCUAACAAAAGGACAACAGCAGGAUUCUAUAGUUCUAGCAGGUGGGUAUAGGAACGCGACAAGAAGUAGCAAUCUUUUUAGCAUUGGAGAUUCUAAAUAAGGCUUAAAUACAGGACUUUUGAGGUAUGCACAAAAGCAUGGCUCUUGCUCCUUCAAUUUCUCACAACAUUCAGCUGUUGGCGGCACUGACGAUUCCAAUGCCGGAAGACAUGGUCUCAUCUCCAUAGGAUUACAAUUCACUGCAUCUGCCAGUCCAGCUCCGGUGAUGAGCGCCACCACCAUCACCAUUGCCAUCACAGGCACCGAUAGGCAAAGACUUGUUGAAAUCGAAACUUUCUUCAUUUUCUUGGUGAUUUCGAAAGAAUUGUGAUAUUUGUGUAUAAGUGAUAAAGAAAAAGAAAAGAAUGGUUUAAUUUAUAGGGUUGUAAAAUUGGAAGAUGUUCACAAAUCACAAAAUAUGAGCAUCUGUGUAUAAGCAUCUGAUCUGUUACGAGUGCAGCCAAAUCUAUAACAACAUUUACCUUAUAUAAACCUUAUAUAAAGGAAACUGAAGCCCUACUAAGUGCUUAAAGCUUGCUAGCUCUCACACUUAAUGCUCCCAUUCAAUAAAUUCAGCAUUUUUUUGUGGUUCAAGUAAAUGAUGAAACAUGUGAAAGGAUAUAAAAUUAAGGGUAAUAGAGUAUUUUACGAUUCUAUAUGUAAACAAAAAGGAAGGGAAAAAAAAUUAAAAUAUAUGGAUAUGGAUAUGGAUGCUUAAAAUUUGAUCAAACUAAUGUUGGCUAAACAAUAUGACCAUCAUAAUGAUGAGAAUAAGGACAUCUACAUCUCUAUCAAUGUAAAUUAUAUCACACAAUGGAUACUGUACUAUAUUUAUUGGAUAGGGGUAAAAGUAUUUUAAGAAACAAGUGUUUAAAUCGUAGACAAAGUCUCAAUUGCAUAAAAUUAGUCCAAACUUUGCGUGUCAAUUGUGCACUCGGUCUACAAUUUAACCCCUUUCGUUUUAGAGAGAUUGUGAGAAUGACAAAAUAGUAGAUAACAACUUGGAAAAUAGCAAAACCAAAAAAUAUUUUGAUUUAUAGCAAAACCGCGUGAAAUAGAUAUUUUUUGACCCGUUUUCGGCCGAUUUUACCCUUUCAUAGAUGGAAAUUCUUUUUUUCUCAGAUACGUGUAUUCGUGUAGGUUAAAAUAAUAGAAUAUAAACCAGAAUUCUGAACAGAGUGCAUUUGCAAAUCAUUCCAUUUCAUAUAAAUAUUUAUUUUCAUAAUUGAUAUCAUUUAAUCAACAUCUCCUAGAUUCAUGCCUCCAAUUUAUAUAAGGUUUUGGGAUUUGUAGGUUUCAAAUCAAAUAAUUAAUAUUUUUUUAUUAAUAGAUAUUUAAUUCAUAAUCAUUUUACUAUCCAUAAAAUGUUUGAUAAUAUAAUUUACUCAUGAGAUCUGGUUAAUACUUAGUAACUUUUUAUUAUAUCAUACAGAUACACAAGUUUUAAUAUUUUUAUUAUAUAUAUAGUAAUAAAUUUCUUUUUAUUAUUUGAUUUUGAAAGUUUAGUUGAAAGAUAUCCAAAAUUAAAUUUAAAAUUGUAUCAUUCCCUAAACUUUUGCAUUCGAUAUAAUAACAACUUCAUAUUAAGAUUGCAUCCCCUAUAAUUAUGCAUGUAACCAUCAUUUCAUAGAACGGUUCAUUUAAUAUAAUUAUAAAUUGACAUUAUUUUAGGAGAAUAAAUCAAUUAUCACGAUAUUUGUGGAUGAAUUUUUUUUGUUUAAACUAAUGAUAUGGAUGUUAAACGCAUUGCCAUUAGGCGGGACUAAAAUCAUUUUAUUGUAGAAUCGUUAAAUGAGGUAUAUUUUCCGUAAGUGUUAUUUAAAAAUUGAUUUGAAACCACCAAAAUACUAAAAAUUUGAUUUUAAAUGUCAAUAUCCAAAAAAAAAUUGUGAAAAUGCUGUGAUUUUUAUCUGAAAUUAUUUAAUUGUACAAAUUUAUAUGUACAAUAUAUAGUUUUUUUUUAUCAAAAUUUUAUUUUGAAGUACAACCAUUUUGAAAUUAUUUAAAGUUUGAUUUGAAACCACCGAAAUAUUAAAAAUGUGCAGUUUUUACCUAUUUUGUUACAUGUAUAACUAAAAUACAUUAAGAUAAAGAGGUUUUGGUUAUCUAAUUUACAUACACUUACCUUCUUCCCUUUUUCUAUAUUUGUUUGUCUCUUUCUAUUAUUCAUGGAGUGCUCACUAUCUUUACUUGCCUCUUUUGUGGAUGAUUUUGAUUCGUCCUUUCUUGUGGUAUCUGCCUGCUGCUUCAUCUAUAGCAUCUUCUUCCUUUUUAUCUUCCAGACUCUCAGUCUUUUCUUGUUCACCCUAUUUUGAUUAUUAAAUUAGACAAGUUUGUUCAUGUUUAUUAAUUCGAUUACAACAAGUUGCAACAUUUACCUGGUCUUCAACCUCUUCUUCACUUUCUUCUACACGUUUCGCUCUCUUUAUUCGACUUAACGAAACCUACCAAGCGAACAAAUUUAAAAAAUCUCUACAUAUACUUUAUUAGAAAAUAGGAGAACAUAAAUGUUAAUAAGCAUAUUUACCAUGCUUUUUAUUCUUAGCUUUUUAUGUAUAGUUGGCUCUUCCCUUGGAGGGUCCUUCAUCUCUCUCUUAUUGGAUGAUUGUGGAAGUUCUUUUAAAUCAAGGAAGUUCUUUUAAAUAUAUGUAGGAGGCACGAUUAAAAAAAAAAAAAAAAAAAUUGUAGUGGAUGAGUCUUGAACCCAAAAUCUCUGCAUUUUAAAGGGGGCACAACCACUAUACCAAAAAUAGAAUACUAUAAAAUAAUGCAUUUUGUAAAUUAUAUUGUAAUUUGACACUACAAACUAAUAUUAAAAUAUAAAAAUCGAUAAUGUGAGGGGGGCACAUGCCCCUGGCCCUUAAUAGAUUUGCCCAUGAGUUAUGUUAUAUCAUGUAAUGAACCAUACACUAAGUUAUAAGAAUGUACAACUUUAUUAUACUUGAAAAAAUACUUGAAAAAUAUAUAUGAAUACUCGUCUGAAGAGCUUGAAAGAGUUUGGACACCUGUUGACAAUGGUAUUUUUGAACCAGUGUAUCCAGAAGACCGUAAUUUAUCACUUCUUCACUUUUCUCCUUGACCCUUCUUCGUCCUUAUAUUUAGAUUUUCUACAAUUUAUAAAAUAAUGAACAUUUAAGACAUAAACAAAUAAUACAGAACAAGCCCUUUUUUUUGCUCCUAAAAUGGAGGACAUAACUGUUGUACGUUUUAUUUUAUGAUAAUAAUAAAAACAAACCGAUUGUUUUCUCUAUAUAUAACAAAAAAAAACUUUGUUCAAAUUACAUCGUUUCUUUCGAAUGUUCGAAAACUACAGAGGCAACAACAAUGGUGAUAUUCAAGUUCUCCAAAAUACAGUCCUAACCAUGUUGUGCAUAGUGAUAUUCGAAGAAGAAAUUUGAUCGAACAAAACAGCUUAAACAAUAAUUUCGAAUCAACACGGCAACUAAAGGACAAUAAUGGCGUCAAAUAAUCUGAUUAAAUCUGAAAGAACUAUUAGUUCGUUCGAAGAUUUAUAUAAGAAUAAGAGGAUGUUUCUAAAUAACCUAAAUAUGAAGUAAAGGCGUGCAGAAUUCUUUCGAAAACAGUGCAAAGUAAACUAGUCGAAGUCCGGAUGUUCUUCUAAAGUAGUGCAAAGUAAAGCAGUCGAAGAAGAGCAAGAGAUUUGGAAUAAUCGUGUAUUGCACAAAUAUGAUUUGGAAGAAAUGUGGUAAGAAGAUGAACAUAUGGAUUUUCAAAGUUUUUUUAGGGUUUCAAAUGAAAGAAGGAAAGUUUCUUUAUGGUUUUGAAUGAAAGAAACAAGUAACCGUCCGAAGUCCAAGAAAAAAAGAUGAACGUAAGGAUUGAAUGAUAUUAGUAAUUUAAUUUGGUGAGAUUUAAGGAUUUUAGCUAAUUAUAUAUAUAUAGGGUUAAUAAUAAUUAUAUUAUUGAAAUUAUAUAUAAUUAGAAUUUGUUAUGGAAGAUUAAUAAUAAUUAUAUUAUUAAACAUAAUAUAAUUAUUAAGUGUUCGUUUUUGGAAGAUAAAAAGAGAGAUAAUUGAAUGGGAUUUAAUGAGGAGAGAAUAAGAUUUGUUGGUAUAAACUUCUAUCAAAUGGCUAUUAAUGUCACUGAUCAAAGAUGAAAGCAUAUCAAUGACUAUCAAUAUCUAUUAUUAAUAAAAUCUAAAAACUUUGUUAUAUGUUGUAAAUAUUUUGCCAAAUUUACUAUUUUUGACAACUUUCCUUUAAUAAAAUCUAAAAACUUUGUUAUAUGUUGUAAAUAUUUUGCCAAAUUUACUAUUUUUGACAACUUUCCUUUAAAAAACAAACAAAUACCUAGUUAUUUAAUGGAAAAAAAAAAUCCUUUAAAAAACCCUAUUUUCGACAAACCCUAUUUUUGACAACUUUUCUUUAAAAAACAAAUUAUAGCAAAAUUUUGGAUUCUAUCACUUAUAGUCUUCUAUCACUAUAGCAUAUCAAUGAUUAUCAGUGAUAGAAUUUGCUAUAAGUUGUAAAUAUUUUCUAAAAAAUAUUAUUUUUAUAUAUUUCUCUUUAAUAUAAAAAACAAAUUUCACUAUAGAAGGAAAAAUAUUAGUAUAUUAACAAAAGUUAAAUAAAUUAGGUUAUAUCGUAAAUUGGUUUACAAUUCUAAUAUAUAAUUAAAUAAAUACAUAACUACUUUGUAUUUGUUGAGAUUGAAAAAAAAAAAAUCAAUAUACAAGAUUAACGGAAAAAAAUAGUGUAUUAACAAAAGUUAAAAUUUAAACAUACUUAAAUUUGAAAGAAUUUAAGAAAAUUUUACCAUUCAAAACAUAAAAAAUAUUUUACCAUUCAAAACAUAAAAAAUAUGAAUACAAAAAUACAUUGUAUUUUUUAUUUAAUUCACUGCCUAUAAUUAUUAAAUACACAUUGUUGGGUACUUGGUAGUUCAAUAUUAAAAUAUUUACUUCCAGCAGCACCCUCCAAUACAGUGUCAACGACCACAAAAACAGAAGAUUCAAUCCAUCUACCAUAAAAAACAGUUGUAUAACACAUACACAAGUUUUUGUAUUAUAUUGCUAAAGGAUGUAGGAUAAAAAAUGUGAUUAAUGUACAAAUAGUGUUAAACAAAUAAGAUAGUCUACAAAUUAAUUUAAAACAUUAAAAUAAAAACAAAUAUGGUAAGUAACAAUAUAUUUCAAAAACUUAUACAAAAUACAUAUUUUCGAACAUUUUUAAAGAUAGAAUCGAAAGCUAACUAUAAAAAUCUAUUAAUAAUUUUUUAAAUACACUAUGGACACGUAAAAAAUAAGCAUAUGAAGAUACAAUUUAAAAUAAUAAAAAGAAACGAUAAAGAUACACAUUUUCAAAAGUUAUUAGAAAUACUUAUUUCGAAAAUUCAAAUUUGAACUAUAUUUUGAAAAUGUAAACAUAUAACACUAUUUCAAAUUUGCCCUAUAUUAAUUGAAUGUCUUAAAUACAGAUUAUGGACAUUAGAAAAUAUAUAAAGGUAUAGUUCAAAAUAAUGAAAAGGAAAAUGAUGAAAAAAGAAAAACAUAUUUUCAAAAUUUGUUAGAAAUACAGUAUUUCAAAAAAUCAUUAAUUUUUACAACCUAAUUAAAAAAUAUGUAUCAUGGAUUAAUUAAGUAUAUAAUUCAAAAAUAUUAUUAACGUAUUAUAUAUAAUUUAUUAACGAUUGAGUUUCAGUUAUGGUAUAAUGAGAUAACUAAGUGACAACUUGAACUAAUGGGGAGAUUUGUUGCAAUUUCGUCUCCCAAAUAAAUCUCAGAUUUAGUUAGGAUUUAACAAAAUAAUCGAAUUUGUACAAUAGAUUAUAUUUACCCAUUAAAAUACAAUGUACUUUCAACCUAUGAAAUAUCCUAAAAUCAACGACAAAAUAAAAAUUAAUUGACAACCAUAAAUCUGCAUGUUCUCAAUUUGCUAAAACUAUUAUUCGUGCCGAUUUUGACUAUAUUUCCAACCGCCACCUCCAAAUUUUCCAUUCCUACAUAUUUCUCAAGAAAAAUAUAUAUUCUCUAGAGGGGGAAGAACCCACGUCAUAGUUCAUAGUUAAAGGCUCUGCGCCUAAUCACUUUUUGUUGUGCACUUCACCUAGGAGUAUUUCGCCUUGUCUUGACAUUUGAUGUUUCACCUUGUGCAGUGAUCAAAACGCCUAAGGAUUAGCCAUAGAAACUUGUUACAUAUUAAUCAGUUCGCCUAAUGAUUAGUCCAUCUGAUCAAAACGCUUCUUAUCAAUACGCCUAUUGCAAAAUAGAGAGUAGUUAAGAAUAUAGGGGUUGGGUCACGGAUCUCGCUUUCUUUAAGACGUUUUGCAGCUCUAUUUAAUUUGUGCAAACAAAUUUUAAAUGCCUAGUCGUCCUAAGGAUAAAAUAGUCGUGUUCUUCAAUUAGUUUUGCUUUAUUUAGAAAGAUCUAUAUGUCUAGGGGUUUGCAUUGAAACUAAUCACAAUCUCAACACUCAAGUAGACACUUUUGAUUUGCUUGGAAAGCUCACAAAAAGAAAUUUGAAAGGAAGUAUUUGCUUGUGAUUUCUCACGCACAAAAUGAAAGAAGUAGAAGAGUUUAUAUAGUGUGAGAAAACUAAUAGAGAUAUUGGAAAUUAAUUUUGGAAACGUUUGUAGUUAUGGAAAGAUUACGUUGAACAUUAAAUACAAAACGGUAAUAAAACGUUUGAUUCUUUAACUAUACGAUAAAAAUCAUAUCAUUUAUUUCACCUCAUCUCGCUUGACCAUCUCACCUCAGAUGUCAGCAUAUGCGAUGAAAUAUUCUAUCAUCUAGCAUAGAUAAGUGCUAGUCUUAUCGUAUAGUCAUGAUCAAAUAUCACAUCAUUCACAAAAAUCCGAUAACUCCAUCGCUUAGAAAUCUUACCGUAUAGCUUGGUCCUUAUCGCAUAUCGUGUAAAGAAUUUUUCAAUCAACACUUUUCGAUUUUUAAUAUAAAAAGAAUUCAGUUUAUAAACACAGUUUUUUGGUUACUAUCUGUGCUACAAAUUUGAGGGAGAGAGAUUGAUGAGACUUAAAUAGUGAAUAAGGGAAAAUUAAAAGCUUUGGAUCUCUAUGUGUUCAUUGACACGAUCCUUUGCAUUCAACCACACCUAUAUUUAUCUACAUAUAUUGCCCUUUAAUGAUACUCAUGUUGUGCUAUAUUAUCUUCUCUUUAAAAUCUAUAAUAUGCAUCUUAUAUAUAUAUAAAUAUUUAUAAUUAUAUAUAAUUUAAACCGUGCUUGAAAAAGACCUUUGUAAUAAUCUCUAGGAGGGUUUGUUUUUAUUAUUAUGACUCUUUAACUAAACCAAAACCAUUAUUUACCUUAGUGUUAACAUUUUAAUUUUAAAGUUUGAAAAUUGCAUCAAACACCACAAUUUAAAAAAUAAAUAAAAUUUAUAUCCGAAUGAAAAUAAUAUUUGUAAACAAGAUAACUUUGACCGAUCAUAUGUUAAAUUUUUUUAAAUUUCAAUUUUGUCACAAUUUCCUUCUCCUUUUGACUUUCCUUUCUUUUAUUGACAAGAGUAAUGACUUCUAUCACUAAUAUCAUACUACCACGGAUGUUUUCAAUCAAAUCGUAGUAAUAUGUGGAUAUGUUCACGAAUCUAUCUUAAAUUGAACUUUAUAUUUCUAAAUGAUAUAUAUAAAUGUUGAUAACACGUGACUUUAAAUCAAUAAUUUAUUUCAACCAAAGAUGCAAUUAUAUCAUUUUCAUUUUAAAACUAUAUGUUAACUGUAUCCAAUUUAACACAGUCGUUUACAAAAGUUUAAGCAUUGCAAUUGAAUGUCAAACGAAAGCCUAAACAUAAUAAUCUAUUGUCAAACAAAAAUCUAUCAAAUGUCAAACAAACAUUCCUAAUUAUCACAUUUUUAUAUUUGAAGAUCAAAAUUUUGAGUAUCAUCAUUCCACCUUUGGAGAAUGCCUUAGCUAAUUUGCUGGGAGACAUUUUUGUCUUUUUGUCUUUUCUUUUUUUUGUUGUCUUUUCUUUAAACUACUUUUGCAUUCUGUAAAUCUUUUUUCUAUUCAUUCGUAUUCAUAUUUUUUAGAGUCUUUUCAAUGACAUUUAUCAGUAAAGUAAAGAAAAUAAAACAGAAAAUAAAACAGAAGUGUGUAUGUGAAACAAUCGUUUCUCAAAUCCAAAGUUAUAAUUCAUUUAUCAAAUUGAAAGUUAUCAAUAACAAUUAUAAUUGAUUCAUUUAUCAAAUUGAAAGUUAUCAAUAACAAUUAUAAUUGAUUGCUGCCAUGGGUGAUAUAUAUGAUUAGUGACUGUUUUUAAUUUGAGAAAUUGAGUAAGAAGAAUCCAAAAUAUAGCCGCAACACAUGGGCAUUUUAAUCUUCUUACUAAUUUUUUACUAUAUAUACAAUUAUUUUAUUCUCAUGUUACAUAUGCUAUUAUCUUAAGCUUUAUUUUAUUUUAUUUUUUUUAUGCAACUGAUCCUUUAAAAUUUUAUUCAUGAACACUUUUAUUAUAUAGAUCAAUAUAGUUCAGUUGUGAUGUUGGUUUAUGUAAUUUGUCCAAUAAUUAAUGGAGAAAGUGUUAGAUCCCUUUUGGUAGCCAUGUUUUUGUAUUCUUUUUUCUUUUUUUGUUUCUGAAUUUUUCAUUUUUAAAAAUAAAAACCAUAUAGAUUUGAUGAUAAUAAAUUUUUUUACAAAAACAUAAAAUAAAUGGAACAACGCCCUUAGUGUUGUUUGGGAUGCAGCAAAGAUCUUAUAUUUCUUGCAACCCGCACAACUUUCCGAUUAAUAACAAUUUCCUCGUGCCAAUCUUUUAAAUCCUAUUUUCUUAUAUAUAUAUAUAUAUUUUUGUAUGUAAGAGAAAACGAGUGCACCUAAUCAUUGCAGUAAAAAGAAAUUGAAAACAUAGAGAUAUCUAAUUCAUGCCAUUGUUUUUAUUUAUAACUUCAUUUUGUAAUACAGAUUAAGAUUCCAUUUCAUAAGAGACCACCGUAAUUUUCUAACACUUAGGGAUAGGGACACGACACUGGGAAGCAAUGGCCCGAACACGAGGAGAUUCUGCAUAAGCUUUGUACUUUGGAUCUUUUAGGUACCCACAAUAGCAUGGUUCUUGUUGCCUCAACUUCUGGCAGCAAGCAGCCGUCGGUGCAGUUGAUGAUGUGAUUGCACUCACACAAGGGCUCAGCUCCGUCGGAUUGCAACUCACCGCCUCACCCAGACGAACACUGGAGAGAAAUAUUGCCACCACCACAAGAAGGCAAAGGCCUGUGCCUUGAACUUUCAUCAUUCUUUUUUUGGUUUUGAGAAGAUUAGUUCUUUGUUUUUCUGUAUUUGGAAGGACAAGAAAGAGGAGUGGGUGUGUGUGUGUGCAUUUUGCCAAAAGGUUUCAACCUGUAUUUAUAGUCUCAUGUGUGAAAUGUAUAGACAUAAUUUGUUAAUAGUGGAGUCCAAAUUGAUGACAUCAAUUAUGACAAGUAUAUAGUGAGACAUUUGAAAGGAAGAUACGGAAACUUGGGUUAAAGGUAAGGAAGAGAUUACAAAUACUCUUUAACUUUUUUAGAAAAUUUAAUUGUAUUAUUUAAAAGCUAUAUAUAUAAAAUAUAAUCGAGUGAGGGUUAUAUAAUAAUUCACAAGGAUAUAAACAUUUCUAUUUUUUACUUCAAGUUCUCAAAAAAGAAAAUUGUUUUGAGAUGAUUUAAUUACUGUCUGGGUUUUUUUGUUUUUAAUUAUUUAUCAAAAUAUUUACUUAUUAAGUUAAUCUACUUCAAAUUGUUUUCAAAAUUCAAGCCAACUUUAGAACGAAAGGCAGCAGCUUUAUUGGGAAGAUUUGGAUUGAAGGACUCAAUUAACAUCAAACAUAAAUAAAAGUGAGGAAUCUAAGAAAACAAGAAAUGAAUAAGAAAUAGAACUUUUAUGAGAAAAGUAAGCUUAAAGCAAUGAGCUUUAUAUCAGAGAGAGCAAGGUCCAUCCGAACAAAAUACGUAGUGGGGUAUGCCCAGUCAUAAAAACAACAUAGAACAAAAUUAUAAGGUCUAUGGAAAUAUGCUCGACCUUAGCCAAGUGCAAGGCCAAUAAUCCUAGCAAAAUGACCAAUAGUGGUGCAUUCCUCAACCCAGUGAGCUAAAGGGUUAUUGACUUAGCAUGAAAGUUUUGUCCCAAAUAACCUAUAUCAUCUAUUCCAAUAAACAAAUCAUUAUCACGUCCGAAAUAACCUAUAUCAUCUAUUCCAAUAAACAAAUCAUUAUCACGACAAAAUUGAAAGUCCUACACUUACGAACUCUAUAAUUCAUUCGAGAAUUUCACUUUUUUUUUUAAAUAACUAUAUAUGCUAAGCACAACACUAGUCUACUUCGUCUUUCAAUUUUGCAAAUCAAUUUUUUAACUACAUUUUAGAAAACUCCUAUUUUUAGGAAUUUAGUUGAUAACAAAAUUUGUGAUCAAGGAUUUGUGAAAAUAGACUAAUUAUUUUUUUUUUUAUAAUAGAAAAGAGGAUUAUGUUUUUGAAAUCUAUUCUUGUUUUCUAUUUUUUGAAAAAAAGAACAUAAACAAAAUAACUAUCUUUUGUUUUUUUAUUUCUUUUUUCUUUUUUGUAACACCAUAUAUAAAAAAAUGAUAUGUUACACAUUAAGAAUAAAAAUUAUAUAUUACCAAAAGUUUAGUCUUGAUGACAACUAAAACAUAGUAACAAAGCUUUAUAAUAUUCUUCAUAUGUUAUUUAAAUUGAUCGACAUUGUCAUUUCUAACUGUCAUUUUUUUAAAGUAAUAUCGAGUAAAAUUUAAUUAAUUAAUAAUAAAUGUGAUCAUUGUAAAAUGUUAAAAUUAAAAGUUAAAAGCUAAAUGAUUAUGUGAAUUAACCAUAUUUAUAUAUUGUGAGAUUAUAUAUAUUAAAAAUAUUUAAACAGCCAUAUUGAAAAUUUUAAUAGUUGAAAUAUAUAUAAAAAACUAAUAUACAUAUUCAAACUUUUAAAAAAAGAAAUAAAUUAAAUAUUAGAGAAUUUUAAAAUUCAAAAUUAAAAUAAAAUAUAAAUAUAGCAUAUUUUAGACCUGAACCCUACAACUUGCGAAAGUACACUAAAGGUGAAUGAAUUUUUUAAUUUUGGUGAAAAGAAUUAUAUUGUAAAAUUUUAACCAGUUGCAAAUGUACCAAAAAUGAAGAAUUAAAACAAAGAUAGAAAUAUGGCCUAUUUCAAAAAUUAAAAAAAAAAAAAAAAAUUGAAACCAUUUAAUAGAAAGUUACAAGUUGUUAAUGGCCAAUUUUGUUAAGAGUAUGAAAUUGUGAAUAGAUAUCUUUUAACUUAUUAAUACAUUAUAUCAUAAAUCUAAAUGAAAUUAAGAGCACAAUAUAACAAACUGUAUAAAAUCUUGGCUUUAUUUGUUUGGAAUUGGCUCAUUUUAAGGGCAUCCCUUCACUUGUGUGCCCUUCCAAGUUAUCUAACGUAGGAAUAUUUAAUUUCAGUUUAAACAUGAGCACAACCACAUUGUAUUUGAAGAAAAAGACAUUUGCUUCAUUUCUUCUCUAAACCUGUUGCCAAUGCUACGCGAAUCAAUUUUGAUGGAUCUUCCUAAUUCAAAAUUGAAAAUCGUGAAUGUACAAAUUUUCAACACAAUUUAAACAACCCAACGUUUAUGACCUUUCAUAUAAGGUUGGCUUCUUUAAAUUUAAUUGCUUUAUUGCAAUUUAUUUCUUCAGGUUUGGUUAAAUUUGAUGACUUUUUCAUGAAGUCAGUCUUCUCUCUCAUUUAAUUCAAAUCGCUUUACAAGUAAACAAAUUAAAGGAAGUAACUAAAACUGUUCGUCAUCACCUUCUGCUAUUCUCCUAUUACGUUAUUUGUAUACGUGAACAACGACUGUCUAGCAUGCAUGCUGAUAGCAUAAAAAAUCACAUGAACACGUUUUUCUUAAUUCAUGGUCCUUACUGGUUUUAUGUGUUUAUUAUGUGAUUUCAUAGAUAUUCAACAUCUAAUUAGAGGCAGAGCAUCACAUUAGCGAUGAAAUGGAACUAAAACAAUCCAAAACAUAACUUAAAUGGAAUAAUAGAAAAAUAGAAGGUCAAAAAGAGCAACAGUUUUAUAAAACAAGUUUUCAUAAACAUUUUAGUAUAUAAAACCGAAGCUUGAAUACAUUUAUUAGUAAAUAAUCGUAACAUGAAUAUUUGCAUAGCUUUUCGAAGACAGUCCUCCAUAGCCACAGACAAUAUUUACUCCUUUGUCUAAAUACGGAACAGUCGAUAUGUAGCUAACCCUCCUCCUUUAAGGCAAACAAUAUACUCUUCCUGAUGGCCUGACCCAUAGUUAAAAAUAUGUCCGUCAGCCAUAGCAUCAAUAUGAAGUUAACCAUAUGUAUAUUAAUAGGUCUCAUGAAAUAUUCAGACAUGGAUAAAUUUGAACACAUGAAAUGUUUUCUUGAAAGUAUUUGAAAUGUUUCCUUGAAAUCAUGAAGUCAUAACAUAACUUGGAAAUAACAUUUCAGUGAACAUUUAUCAAUAGCAUCACUUGUAUAAAAACUUGAGAUCAUGUUUAACAAAACAUGUUUGAUAAAUACUUUGGAAAUCAUGAUAUUACUCCUAAGCUAUUGCUUGUAGAGUCUGAAAACAUGUUUAACAAUAACAUUUAGAAUCGGUGUGACGUUACUCACAAGCUAUAACUUGUAAUGUUGAAAACAUGUUUAGUAAGUAGCAUUUAAAACAUUUUGUUACUUACAAUACUUGAAUAGCCUUGGUCUCGGAAAUUUCUCCUAAUCCUUCUUGUCCUAAAAAAUUCAUAUUUUAACAGUUAAUUAAUUCCUUGAACAUGAAUAUAUCCAAAAGUGUUGGAAUUUAUGUCCUAAAACUAAUAGAUUAUAAUCAUAUUCUAUUCAAUAAAGUUGUUAUUAAUACUAUAAUCUUAAAGCCAAUAAACUAAGGCUCCAAAGCUAUUAUUGAGUAAACUUGAACUUUAUGUAGACAUAAAUGUGGAUCAAGUUCGAGUAUAUAGCCUAAAUAGUCUAUAGAAUAUGAAUACAGAUGGACACCUCAUUCUGGGAAUACUAUGGAUACGACUCGCUUUUGUAGUUAGUACAAACAAUGUGAUCCUGAAUCGUUCAUGUAGAGACAUGGAAGUGGGGGCAUCCUUUGUAAAGAAAUUACAUAAGACUGGAACCAUAGAAAUAGUCGCUCUUAAGUUAUAAUAUCGUUAACUUUUAAAACCGACUAUUUCGUUUAUAGAUAUCCAAUGUAACUUAAUCUUAAUCAUGAGAUAACUAUGAACUUUUGUUUGUUGGGAUUUAUGUCCUAAAACUAGAAUACUGUAAAUAUAAUUCAUUGACCGUUAUUAAUAAAGUGUUAUUAUUGUAAUAAUUGUUAUUGAUUAUAUUAUUAGUUUUGUCUUAAUAACCAAAAUCCAAUAAACUAACAUCCUAAUAUGUUUAAUGAGUCUUGAACAAUAUGUACAGACAUACAUGGAUAAAUGUUCGAGAUCAGCUUAAAGAUCGGUCUAUAGUAUAGGGAUAAGACUGGGUACCUUAUCUUGGUAACACUAUUAAUACAACUCACUUUUUUAUUUGAUACAAACGCAAUGAUUCAACGCGUUCGUGUAGUUGACAAGCGAGUGAGGGUAUCCUAUACAAUGAAUUUGCAUAAGAUAAUACUGCAAAGUAGUAACCACUAGAUGUAACCCCGUUAACUAGUUAGGUUUCUAUUUCACUAGGAUGACCUAGGUAACUUAGUCUUAAUCCUGAGUGUGUUAUGAACUCCUGUUCGCAAGGGAUUAUCCUUUGAUUAUCCUAUACAAUGAGUUUGCAUAAGAUAAUACUGCAAAGUAGUAACCACUAGAUGUAACCCCGUUAACUAGUUAGGUUUCUAUUUCACUAGGAUGACCUAGGUAACUUAGUCUUAAUCCUGAGUGUGUUAUGAACUCCUAUUCGCAAGGGAUUAUCCUUUGAUUUGUAUGGGUGAGAGUAGAAGAUCGUCGACUCAAUAAGCUUAUUAUUUUGGGGACAACACCGAGUGUGGAGCUGGGAACAUAAUUACACAAGAUGGAAUUCACUUUCCCUACUUUAGGGUAAGUAGAUGAGUGUUUCCUUAAAUGGUGUCUCUAGGUCUUGAACAAAGGAUUCUACCCUCUCUACGGCAAGAGAGGAGUUUCUGUUUAUUGGUAAGACCAUAAACAUGUUGUUUAGUGGAGGAGCACUGGUAUUUAAGGAUUGGAGGUAACCUAGGGAUAAAACGAUAAAUUGACAUAGCUGGUGUUACAAAAACUUGUGAAGGACUAACUAACUGUUAUUGGUCUACAUCCGUGGACACAGAAAUAUAUCUACAGUGAGAAUAGUUCAGUUGUGGGUCUUUAGUGGAAUGUACACACAAUUAACGAAUAUUGAUUAAUGUAGUUAAUAAGUUUAGCCAAUUAAUCUUAAAUCGUUGUAGUUUCUAAUUUGUAGGUUCAUUAGGUCAUUCCUAGCUCAUAAAGGGUAAUGAGAUUUAUUUAUAUUGGUUGUAAUUUGAAAUGUUCAAAUUUACUUUGGAAAUUAGUUUAAUGUAUAGUGAUACAUUGUAAUAAUCAAACUUUAUUAUAUAAAUUUAAUUUUGGAUAUGAUUCAAAAUUAAUUUUUGAGAGAUAAAAUGUUUGAAUGAGUUCAAAUAUUUAAUUUAAUGUGAAUUGGAUUCAUAUUGAAAUAAUUCGUUAAGAGAGAAAUCUAUAUUUAAAUAUGAUUCAAAUUUAAUUUAAGUUAAAUAUAAGAUAUUUAAUUUAGCAAUUAAUUAAUUAAUAAUUUUAGUUUUAUUGAAUUAAAUCUAUAAGAUAUUGCUAGAUAUUCAUUCAAAUAAGAUUUGAAUGAAAUAUUAAUUAAAUAUAAUUUAAUUAGUUAUAUUAAUAUAAAUCUAUAAGAUAUUGAAAAGAUAUUCGUUCAAAUAAUAAUGAAACAUUAAUUAAAUAUGAUUUAAUUAAUUAUAUUAAUAUAAAUAUAUAAGAUAUUGGUGAGAGAUUCAUUCAAUUAAGAUUUGAAUGAAACAUUAAUUUAAUAUGAUUUAAUUAAUUAUAUUAAUAUAAAUCUAUAAGAUAUUGAAGAGAUAUUCAUUCAAAUCUUAUUUGAAUGAAAUAUUAAUUAAAAAUUAAUUUAAUUAAUUAUUAACUAACUGAUUAAUUGUUAAUUAAUUAGUAGAUUUGAUAAUAGAAUCUGAUGAUUUUCUCCUACUCAUUUUCCUAUUUCAUGAAGGAAAUAGAGUUAUAGAUAUCUAGAAGAAAACAAUUUUUUUUAACGAAUUGAUUAAGAAAAAAAAAACCAAGACUUUUGCUCAGCAAAAAGAAAAGAGUUUCUCUCAACUACCUCUAAACUUUUUUGCAUCUUAGUUGUUUCUCUAAACCAAUCUCAUCCCAAAGGAUAAGAAGUCUCCGACGGGUGGUGUUCCAAUUCGGUGGUAUGUAGAUUCAGAGACGUCAUCGAAAGUAAGUUCUCUGUAUCUUUAAUUUAAAAGCAUGCUUAGUUUUUAUUUAGAAUUUUGAUUUUAAAAUCUUGCCAAUGUACUAGUAUUUUAAGAUUCUCAAAUUAAUUUGAGGAAUGGUUUUGUAAAAUUUUCACUGCCGUAAGGCUUUUAUGCCUUCGCUGUUCACAUAGAAUUAUCCAUAGAUUUGCAUAGGUGAGGGCAACUCAAUGGCGUUGGCCCAAUAAGCCUCCCAUUUCAGGUAAGACCGGGUGGAUAGCUAGGGACAUAAGGUGCAAGACAGAAUUCACUCCUACCCACAUUAAUGAUAGUAGAUAGGUUGUUUCUUUAAGGAUUGAAUCUAGGUCUUGAACAAGGGGCUCAGCCUCUCAUUGGCCAAGAGGGAUUUGGUUUAUUGGUUGGACUUAAAACCAAUUGUUUAAUAGUGGAUCAGUGGGAUCUAAGGAAUAAGAUGUAGUCUUGGGGUAAAACGGUACUUUGACCCAACUAAAGUUACAAAACAACUUGUGAAGGAUUAACUUACUUAUCAUGGUUAUAUCACAUGGACACAAAUAUAUCUAUAGUGAGGGGAGUGCAACUACGGGACUUUUGUGGAAUGUCUCAUUAGUUAACGAAGGUUGAUUAACUCGUUCUAAAAAAGUUUAACCAGUUAAUCUUGGAUCAUUAGAGCCAUGAUCUUUAGGUCCAUUAGGUUCCCCCGCUAACUCACAAGGAAUCAACUUAGAAUAUUAUGAUGGAAUAAUUCGAAUUGUUAGUACCCGUGAGUCACAUUUUAAAAUGAGUUUUUGAUUUUGUGUAUAUGUAUCAGUUGUUUAAUAUUUUUGUUUUAUACAUUUUUAAUUAAAUUUUCAUCCUAUUUAUUUAAGUUUAUUUUAUUUAAAAAAACUGUUAUUACAUGCGAGUCACAUUUUAAAAUUAUUGGUUUUGAUGAUUUUAUGUCUUUCGAACAUUUAUUUGAUAGUUGAUUUUAUAAAAAUUUUAGUUUUUCCUUUCCAAGAAAGUGUAUUUUGUUAUUGGUCUUUUGAGUAAUGACCUCGAAUUAGUAUAAAGAGUUAGGUCAUUACAUAUACUAAGUAACUUAUUUACUUAGAAGAAGUAAAUUACCUGAAAUCCUUGACUUAGAUAAUGGUUGAAUAAAAAAUACAAUCUUCCAAAUGAAUAUAUUUUUGAAUCUGGUAGGUGGUUUCGCACAUGCUUACUCAGGGUCGUCAUAUUUCCUAAAAUGACAUUUAACGUUUGACAAAUUUAUUAAUUGUAGGAUAUGUAUAAUUAAGCACAAAAUAACGAUACAAAGGAAAGAACAAAUGGAUUAGGUUUCUAUGUAUGUGGUUUAGGAUGUAAAGCAAUUAACUUACCAAUAAGUCGUCCAUUACAAUCUUGAUAUACUUCGGUGGAGCAUUUGCAAACCUAAGCCACUAGACUGAAAAUGCAUCUCUGGUUGCAUCACCAAUAGCAUGUCAAGAAAUUGGCUUCUUCGCUCCUUAUGUGAUGGAGAUUGGAGUUUUCCAUGUUUGUGGACGUAUUUCUCUAACUCAAUGUUUCGGGAGUGGUCAUGUGUCCUACGAGUGGGUUUAGUGUAACCAACUAAGAAAAAAAUUAUAUGUUCGUGCAAUAACUCAUGUAAUCUUAUGAAACACCUAAAGUGUUAUCCAAAUCACGAAACUAACGUGAAGUGUCACUCACCAAUGAUCCAAUGUAAGGGAAUAUGUCCAACUCAUGGAAUAAAUCUUUUGACUCGUGAAAAUUGCUUGAGAGUGCUGACAUAGCACCUCUACACACAAAAACCAAAAUGCACAAAUGAAAAUAUUUUAAACUGAAUCUAAAAAAUAAAAUAUGUGGAUACAUGGUUUGUCAUGAUUCGUCGUCGCUUGAUCUGUUUUAAGAAAAUAAUUGUUCACCAUCAUCGUUUAUAUAGUUGUCAACGACAUGCCGAACAACUGGUCUUUCCACCACUGUAGUAUCAAUGUCUACUCUGCAUAGAGUGUCAUCUUAAAUGUGUUUAUACACAUGAACGGAGCUCAUGCAUACUUAGCACAUACCACGAUAACAACCUCCAUCUAAUCCAACUAUGGUAGCAUACUAAAUACACGACUUGGAAUAGCUCACACGCGAUCCAUAUCCACAAGGAAACACGCGACCAAACUGAGCUCACACAUACUUAGCAUCUACCACAGUAACAAUCUCUAUAUCUGCUCCUAUAUACAUAUAGAACUACCCACCAUGGUUAAGUUAGGCCCAAAGCCAUAUCACAAUCCUCCAUCCAUAUCCUCACCUAGGUUCAAGUUCUCGAAUCUCCGGUCACGACCUCUUUUAGCCCCAAAAUCCCCUAACAACCAUAGGUGAUGCUACGGAAACACAUUCACAUAGCCUUGGAAAAUCACCUUUCUUUUAUACAAAUCACAUAUUUCAUGUUUAAAAGCCAAACAUGGUCAUAAACACAUUUUCAUAAAGUAGUUUCCUGUUCUUAUCCAUCGACGCAUGCUUUUAGUAUUACAUUUAAUUUAAAUCAUCCAAGUUUAAUAAUAUGCCAAAGACUAUUUCAAGUUUUUAAAUCAAUGGUCAUUUAAAUCAUGGCUAAUAAGUUUGGGUUCAACGACAUUUCCGAAAUAUAAGAGUUGAUGGAAAACAUAAAUUCAUACUUGAAAACAUUUGUAACACAUAGUUCAUAAAAUAAUCAUGCUCAAAGUUUUCAUAGUCAUGGCAUACUAAACUAACAUAUAUGGUUUAUAAUGAAAGUACUUGAAAAUGAAUCACUCACAAUCAAUGACUCAAUCCCCGCGAUUAUACGCUUUUCCCAUUUCAAUUUGGUCGGAAACAAAGAUUAAGGUCUCUCAGUUAUCUUGAGUCAGCAAGAAGACACAAAAAUCUCUAAGAACGCUCCAUUAUGAGCAUUCAAGCUAUUUUACAUUUCUAAAGUCCUUAAAUCCUCGAAACUCCUAACACUAGACUAAAAAUCCAAUUUCAAACCAGUCAACCUCAAAUUUCAAUCCUUAGUAAAAUGGAUGUCCAAACUUAAGUCAAAUUCAUUGGAUAUUUCGUUUCAAUACGCUCUUAUACCCAAUAUCCAUAACAUGUUGAUUUAGAUCCAUUAACAAUCUAAAUAUCAAUCUAACGAGUUAAUAACUUAGGAGAACUUACAUAAGCUCGUCUAAAACAACCUUAAACGUGUUGAUCAUCGCUUCCAUGUUAUCUAAAUCUUAAAUUCCUCAUACAAAACCAUAUGGGUAAAAUCAAGUUCACACUAAAAGUAAAUAGGUAUUUAAGCACUAUGAGAGAAUUCAUUAAAUUUAUCUAAAACCUUAUCGACACCUUGUUGAAAUCGCUUUGACAACACAUUAACGACUUUCUAAUUUUGAAUCUAGUUCCUACAACCAUUUUGAAAUCGCUUUAAAGCUUAUAUAAGUAAUACCCAAGCGAACUCCAAAGUCAGUUGAAAGUUCAUUUUCAACCUUUAACAUUCAACUCUAGGACCCGAGUAUCAUGGGUAAUUCAAUUUUAACACUUAAACUUAAUGCCCAUUCAAGAACUCAAGGUAAACUUCAGAAAAUUACUUCAAAACUUACCUAGAACUUGACAAAGUAAUCUUAAUUUCAAUGAACAAUCCUCUAACGAUCUUCAACUAUCGAAUCCUAGCAUCCAAAAACCAUGGAUUUUUUAAUAUAAUAGCACCAAAAUUCAAUGGGUACUCAAGACCAACUUAAUAAAGCCUAGAAUCUUACCUAAUUUGUGCCUAAACGCCCAACUUUGAGCCAUAAAUUGGUUGGACAACGACUAAAAACCUCCCAAGAAUUCAAAUGUAGCAUUAAAAUGUAAUGGGUAUUGUGAAAUCAAAACCGAUACUUAAUAGGUAUUCAAAAACAUCAAGGAACCUAACAAAAUGAACAAAUCCUUACUCAAAACUCCAAGAUCCAACUAUCGACAGGAAGAUCGAGUUAUACCUAUGAUUGAGCAAUACAAGAGAGACAUUUAGCGUUGAGUUUCCAAUUUUUAACAUCCACAACUUGUCGUAGGACUUCGAGACCCAUCUUGCGGGUGAGUUGGAUGGAAAAUUGAGCGACUCGCUUACAAUGAAGCUCCAGUUCCGAUAAAACCCAAAUAAUGGUGAACUUCGACGACGCGGAAGAUGUGGCACUAUAGCAAACCAACCAACCAGAACUGCAGGUGAGAGUAGCGGCAUAACGACAAAUGAUGAACGAAGCUAUUGUGCGGACGCUAGACGAUGUGGAGGAGAUGAACGGUGUGAACGAGCUGUCAUCAACAAGUUGCUUCGUUCUCGACGUGAGUCACGACCAAUGUGAAAGAGAGGUGAAAGUGUGUCGGCAUGCAAGAGAGAUGGUUCGCAUUCAGACAAUUCAAGAGAGAGGGAGGCUAUGUGUCACAAUCGUAGCGUUUCAACUCGAGAUGGACGAUUGUGCGACACUUGUUCUAACUCAACGAACAAGUCAGCCGAUCAAAAUCCAAGAGUUGUGGGUAACGUCGAUGUAUGUCGUAACCUUCCUUUACGUUUUAGAGAAAAUUUUAUUUAUAAAACGCGGGAAAGAAAGAAAUACAUUGAAAUAGACGUUACAAUAAGCAUUAAAGACUGUCAAUUGCAAGGAAAAAUGGUUGCUUGCAAAGAGUACAACUAAUGCUUGGGCGGGGAUUCAACUGGUAUGCCUCCCCUAUAGUACACUUUGAACAUUUUCUUCUCUGGCAGGCUUGCAUAUGAAAAUGCCGAAACGUCACAUCCAAGCUUUAUGACCCAGAAUGGAAAGCAAACACCUAAUCUAGUUAUGCAAAGUAAAGAUGGGAUAAACUGAGGGUAAUCAGAGCAUAUAACCAAAGGUAAACACAGUUUGGAAAAAUAUGUGUGUGACACUAUGCACGUUCCUUAGAGUGGAGAAGAAAAAAUAUCUUCUUUUUCCUCAUUUUUCUAAAGUAAUACUAAAAUUUGAAAAGUUUUUCAACCUUUUCAACAUUUAGAUUUCCAAUCUUGUUCCAAACUAAAAUUUCUUCCAAAUUCUUUAUUACAACGAUUUAGACUUAAAACUGUGAGUAAUCAAAUAUAAAGUUUAAUAUACGUACUUCCAAUACUCUGUUAUUUAUUUAAAUUGUUGAGGAUGUACCAAUAUGUUCGAGUUGUUUUUCUUUCGGUAAUAUAUAGAGUCUGUAAAGUUGACGCCCCUAAUGGUCGUACUCUUUACCCAAACACUUCAAAUUCCCCAAAUAUCUCAUAUCGAGAAUGCGAACAUCAUUUCGUAAUCUCUAUUGAAUUACGUUUUAAUCCCACUUAGAUAUCGUGUCACACCCCAUUCCAAGAUCACUUCAUUCGACCAAUUUGGGUAAGCUAAAUUGGAAAAAUUAAGGUGAUGGCCAUUGAUAAUUUUAUUCGGUAAAAUUUUUAAUUUCUUAUCCUUUAUACUAAUUAAGAUUGAUUCAUUUGAAAAUUUUAGUUUUAAGUAGUAGAGACUCAUGCUGAUAAUAUAUUAUAAAAUAAGAAUAAUAUGAACAAAAACAAAAAAAAAAUGUUAAUAUUAUGUAAAGUUAUCCCGACAUGAAAUUUUGGAUAUAGAAGUGUUUGUAUAUUAGAAAAUUUUAUACUUUUUGACGAUAUUAUAUAUACGACUUGUCUAUUAUAUUGAUGCAUCUAAAAUUAAAUUUAUGUGUACAUAGCUCCCUUAGAUAAAAUUAUGGACCUGCGACGGAUACCAUUCUCACUACAACGAUACGAUAGAGAAGAAAAGAAAGUUGAUAGCAUAAAGAUAGAAAAUAUUCACUUAUUCAAUACUGGGCUUUAAUUUAUUUCAUCUUAAUUUUAUUCAACAUCACUUUAGCUUCCAACCUAAUCAACACACUGGAAGGGUGACGCCGCAAACAGCGGCAACCCGUUGCCCGCCGGCAAUUAAAGGCUUGAAGCUUGGAAUCUUAGCGUAUUGGCAUAGGCACGGCGCCUGCUCUUCCAUCUUCAUGCAGCAAAUACUCGACGGCACCACUGACGAUGAUUUAAUUGCAUCAAUACACGGGUCAGCUCCUGAGGGAUGCAUUCCACUGCAUCCACCGAACGAGCUCCAGUUAAAAGCGCCAUCAUCUCCACCACGGCCACCAAAACACAUAGACUUGUUAUUGACAAUCUCAUCAUAUUAUGUUGAUUUUUUUUAUAUAAUAUGUUAAUGUGAGUGGAGAAAUAUUGCAUGCUUGGCAAAGCUUUUAGUCUGCAUUAUUUAUAGUCUUUGAAGAUGGUGAGGUUAAAGAAUAAUUGCCAGAUGGGUUUAGUUCUUUA